rnacentral:lncRNA from 1 species
UAGGAUUUUGUUUUCUAGCUUUCUUGGAGAUGAGAAUAAAAUGUUGUGGAUUGUGUUCUUGCAUACUGUUUUUUUUUUUUGUAAUUCUUGUGGAAACCACAGCACACUGUCGUUAUCUAAUCAGAUUAUGUGCAUUUUCCAUAUAAAUGUUCUACUUGCCUCUUAUGUGGCCCUGUUUAAAUUCAGUUUUUCUGUUUCUGAGAGCACAAUUUUGUUUCAUGCUUGCGACUGGAAAUAGAAAGAGAACCCAAAUUUGUGUUGUUUAAUUGUGUGCACAACACAAUGUUUAUUUGAAAUGAUGCUUUAAUUUGGAUUUAUGGGGCACAUCUGCAUGGCAUUUUAAUUAGGAAUAUUGAAUGUUAUUUCCCUGUGGAGCAGAAUUAGCAGAUGGAGUGGCAAGUUCUCAUCUUGUGAUGGUGACGAUGAGUACCAGAAGUUUGGGGAACACUGCAUCGUACAAUUCGCGGAACAAUCCAUUUUAUACAUCUUUGAAUGACAGUCAAUUUUGUCAAUCUUACCUAUAGAGUGCCAUAGUCCAUGGGAGAUCACAGCGAGUACGUGUACUGGUUGCUCGAGAUCGAGGAAGAUGAGCAGAGAAUUGGCAUUCUUUAUGGAGGCAAACAGCCGCCGAGAGGUUAGUUCUUGCUAUCCAUCUUUUGGAUUAGCAACAUGUGUGUUGAUUAACUUGGGUAUGAUUUUGAUUAGUUAAGUAAGAAGAUCAUAUUAGCCUUUGCACUGUGAUUUUGGACAUCAAGUGCAUCAUUAGAGUUGUGCUCUUCAAACUGCUAUUAUGCACUAUCAAUUUAAUGGUUUUUAGUUAUUGAUAAAACCUUAAAUUUCCCACUGGGAGUGUGCACUAUCCAUUAUUUCCAUUAGUGAUUUUACUUUAAAUAUCCCAUACCACUGUGUUGUAAGGUCAGUGCAGAUAGUGGUGUUUAUCUCUGCAUUGUUACGUCCUAAGUUUCCAGUGAACAUCACCUUAAAUCAGUGGAAAUAUUUUCUUUAUUUGACAAGGUAAGGUUAAUCCUCUAAUUAAAUGUUGCAUUUGUCCCAAAGAGAUGAGCAGAAUAAUUAUAUAUUACAAUACCAAUGUGUGCAGAGAGAUGUUUACAUUAGCAUAGAAAAAUAUGAAAAAGAGGGUGGAGGGAGAACAGAGCUAUUCCAGGGACUGCAGCUAGGAUUCGAAAGGGCCUGUAAGUUCCUAUUUCAUCCUAAAAGAUUGGAGAUAUGGGUCCCUUCUAAACAAAAAAAGUAGGUGACCAAGAUAGUGCGUUGUUGUCUACAAAAGUAAGGCAUAGGCAUAAACAAGUUGAUAAUGAGAUAGCAUGGUAGUUGUUGACGUAUUACGUGUUGAUACUUUAUGUUUAUUUUUGUUGCAGUAUCAACAAUCCCUCACAUCAUGUAGAAAAAAGAUCCCAUCAUAUUCUUUGUUUGCUUCCUGUGAAAUAGAGUACUAUACUUAGGUGUUACCGAAAUUCUAAUAUUGUACUCUACUUAGUAAAAUUAACUUAGUAUUGGUUCUUUGUGUAUUUCACACAGCGUCCUCUGCAACUCAAAUUCAGGCAAUACAUUUGUCGUGUCAAGUUAUAUUGGAAGAGGUGGUAGAGCAUCUAGGAGGGCUGCCACCCAUUUACAAUUCGAGCCAACGAUACGGAGAAUGGCAAGCGUGCACGGCUGCGCGUAUACCCAAUCUUAUUGAAUCGUAUUGAACCUGGCAGAUUAGAUGAAGCAUCUAUAUAUAGCCAGAGACCUUCAACCACUCCUAAAGCUGCUGAAGAGAAAACAACAGAGAGCCUCAUAGCUUCUUUGUGCAGCAAAAAGGAAUUUGAGAUCAAUGAUAUACACGCUACAUGUACAGCAACAUGACAUAGUUGCAUCUGCAAGAAAAUAGAUCCUCAAAGGAAAGGGAAAAUGUGACGAUGAGUACCAGAACUAUAUCACACCAAUGGUGCCGACGUACCUCCCUCAUACGCGGUCUCCGACAUCAUCUUGCACUAUCUCAAGCAGUGUUGCUAGGAAGGAGCUGAAUGGAAGUGAAUUAGCUUUUCACUUCUUGCCGUGUAUUGCUACUAUGAUUUUCACCUUUUUGCUAGCUGUUGGUUGGUCUGUAAAGUAUAUAUACUCUCUUUCCAUCAACAACACAACAUGAACCAUAUAGAACCAUUGAUUCACUUGGCCCAAGCCAUUAUAUAUAUCAUACCUUUGGAGCAUUUCAUUCCAUGAUAACAUGUAUGAAUCAUACAUAGAGCUAACGAUUAGUCCUGUUGUUACUUCAGUUAGACUGAAGCUAUUACCAGGGCAAUACUAUGUAAGAUAAGUAAGUGACUUGUACACAUCAAGCCAGCCGAUCGUAAUAAACCACGUAUAAAUUAAAUUAAGUACUUAACUCAUGAAUGAAGAACGGGCGCAAAUUAAAUUAAGUACUUAACUCAUGAAUGAAGAACGGGCGCGGCAAGGCGCGCGUCAUGCUCUAGUAAGUUAGAUACACCCAAGAUUGGACAUGACUAAGUAUUUUACGAGAAGGUACAAACUCAGGGCAUUUUGUAUAGCCGAGAUAUGUUUUCUCACAAGAUAUUUUUAUCCUUUUUGUAGAUCUAACCUCCUAUUUGUUCCAUUCUAUUCUUCCCUUCUACUUUAAUCAUAGAAAAAAAAAGCAGAGCUCCCGCUGUUAAACCACACUCAUGUACAUUUGUGUAACAGUCUGAUGUAACUAAGUCUAGUCCUAGAUUGUAGGAUCCACUAACGCUCAUGGCCUGCGUGCCUUGUUUCUAGCAAUGUUAGCUCACUCCCUGCGGGGAUAUAUGCUGUACUUUGUAAUAUUGUUGGGCAGUGAAUACAAUUGAGCUCUCCAACUUGGUAUCAGACACCAGGCGCAUCAUGGCCACCAACUCCUCCUCCAACGCCACCACGAGCUCCGCCACCUCCCCCGGAUCCCUUUCUUCCUCCUCGACAGCGCCUGCUACGGCCACCGCGCCGGCCCCCUUCCUCUUCGGCACCUCUCCCUCUCUUCUCAGCGGCUCUUCCCCCGCCGACUCGGGCUCUCAAUUCGCCCCUCUGUUCACCUCCGGCGUCACCACCGCCCUGCCGGCACCCGCCCCGCGCCUCCCUAUCUUCCAAGAUCACAUCACCAACCACAUAAAAUUCCUUCUUAACCCCGCCGAUCACAACUAUCACAAAUGGAAGACUUUCUUCCUCAUGGUUCUCGUCCGAUACGACGUCUCCUUCCUCAUCGACCAGCCGCCGCCACCCAACGCCUCCUCCACCUACCUCGAGCUCGACGCUCACGUCGUCCUAUGGAUCUAUGCCACCCUCUCGGACACCAUGUGUGAUCAUGUCGUCGGCGCCACCACCACCUUCGCCCUCUGGCACAAGAUCCGUGACUACUUUCUCGCCAAUCGUGCCGCCCGCUUCAUGAUUCUCAAUCGCCAGUACCGCAAUCUCAAGCAGGGUGAUCUCUCGGUCUCCGAAUACGCUCGCCGAAUGAAGCUCCUUACCGAUGACCUCGCCGAUAUCGAUCGCGCCGUCACCGAGGUGGAUCUCACCACCCAGUUUCUCCACGGCCUCGACAAGCGCCUCGACACGAUCCGGGUCGUGCUUGGCAAUCAGGAUCUCCCCUUCGACACCGUCCUUUCCUGCGUCGUCCUGGCUGAGGAGUCACAGGAGCAGCGCGCAGCUGAGGAGAGCGCCUCUGCCUUCGCCUUGCCUGGCGGCGGCGCCUCUGGUGCCGGCUCUAGCACUGGGGGCCGUACCCCGAGCGAUCGUGUGGAUCGCCCCCCUGCCGGUGCGCAGGAUGCUCCCCCACCGCCACCGCAUCCUGGUCGUGGGCGUGGCGACCGCGAUGGUGGUGAUCGCGGUGACCGUGGCGAUCGUGGAGGCCGCAGACGCGGUCGUGGGCGUGGCGACCACAACGGCCGUGGUCAUCCCUCCCCACAUCUGGCGUCGCCCUUCACCGGCUACUUCGCACCCUACGGGAUGGCCCUUCCCUCACCGCGCUCUGGCUGGAUCCUCCCGAACGCCGCCGACGUGCUCGGUCCGCGCCCCGGGUCGCAUGCGCAGGCUUACCCGCUGUUGCCUGCCCCGACGCCACACGCUCCGUUCUAUCCGCCUGCUCCAUCGUCAUGGGAACAUGCUGCUAUGCUCAAUGCCGCCUACAGCAAUGGUGGCUUCCCGGCCGCCGCCGCCCCCGAGUGGUACUUCGACAGUGGUGCUUCCUCCCACGUGACCGGCAACCCAGGCAUCCUUUCCAAGUCUAGUUAUUCUUUAAAGCAUGUCCCAUCUAGCAUACUUGUCGGCAAUGGCCACCACUUACCUGUCACCGCCACUGGUUCUGUUACACUUUCACCUCAUGAUUUUCGCCUCACCGACGUUCUUGUCUCUCCCAAUGUUGUCACCAGUUUAAUUUCUGUUCGCCGUUUUACUAAAGACAAUUCUUGCUCCAUUGAGUUUUACCCUUACGGUUUUCUUGUGAAGGAUCUUCGCACUCGGAGGGUUCUCAUGAUCUCCGUUAGCAACGGCGACCUCUAUCCUUUCCACGGCAACAACUACACUCCACCGCCGGCGCUCACCGUCUCCCCGUCGGACUUGUGGCAUCGGCGCCUUGGGCACCCCGGAGCUCACUCCUUGUCUACAUUAGCCAACGACUUCAUUAGCUCAUGUAAUAAAAGUGCUCACCCUCCAUGUAAUGCUUGUCAGCUCGGACGCCAAGCACGUCUCCCUUUUUCUUCUUCCUUUAGUAAAACAUUUGCACCUUUUGAUUUAAUACAUUGUGAUUUGUGGACCUCUCCCGUUGUAAGCUUCUCUGGUUUUCAAUAUUAUCUCGUGGUGCUUGAUGAUUUCACACACUACUCUUGGACAUUUCCCCUACAAAACAAAUCGGACACCUCUUCUACCUUACAACGCUUCUUCACGUUCAUCCACACACAAUACAAUGUCAUCAUCAAAGCAAUGCAAUGUGACAACGGCGGCGAGUUCAUCAAUUCCUCCCUCCGCUCCUUCUUCUCUAACAACGGCAUAGCAUGUUGGUUCUCCUGCCCACACACCUCUCCCCAAAAUGGCAAGGUCGAACGUCUCAUUCGAACUACAAAUGAUGUCAUUUGUUCACUCCUUUUUCAAGCAUGUCUUACCCCCCAUUCUGGGUUGAGGCCCUCCACACCGCCACCUAUCUCCUAAAUCGCCGUCCCUCCCGUGCCAUCCACGAUCACACACCCUACUACCUGGUUCAUGGGACACAUCCCACUUAUGAUCAUCUUCGUGUAUUUGGGUGCUUAUGCUUCCCCAACACAUCCGCCACCAUGCCUCAUAAACUCUCCCCUCGCUCGACCCGGUGCAUCUUCUUAGGCUAUCCGCUCGAACAUAAGGGGUACCGGUGCUAUGAUUUAUCCACGCGCCGUGUCAUUGUCUCUAGGCAUGUUGUUUUUGACGAAACUACAUUUCCCUACGAACCGGCCACACCACCAGCUACACAACCCCCCUCCGCACCUGAUCCGCUAGCUGCGAACCAAUCCCCACCAGAUCCCUCGGAUCUGCCGCCCCCGCCUACGUCGUACUGGCCACCCCACCCACCCACUCCAGCGCCACGCGCUUCUCCCGCAUGCAACCAAUCCCCAGCCGGCCCCGCCCCCACUACCGGUCAACUGCGUACCAGCCCGCACGGAUCCCACAGCCCGACCGCAUCUUCCUCGCCUGCUGCACCCGCCUCUCCACCACUUAAUCCACCCGCACCCCCCUCGCCUUCCGCGCCUGUCGCCCCUGCCCCACCUGCCGUAGAUUCCUCCUGCCGUGUCGCCAGCCCCACCACAUCUACCUUGGGAUCCGAGGCAUGCACGCCCACUCCUCCUCCACCACGUCUGCCCCGCCAUGCACAGCCGGCUGAACCCCCACGUAACUCGCACCAAAUGACCACCAGGGCUAAACGAGGGUAUUGCAUGCCCCGACGACUUUUUCUCGCUGAUUCUACUUCCACAUCCCUCCCCCCUCUCCCUCCCACGUACAAGUCUGCACUAAAAGACCCAAAUUGGCGGCAAGCAAUGCAAGAUGAGUACCAUGCUUUAAUCCAUAACUCCACUUGGUCUUUGGUGCCUAAGCCUGCAGGUGUAAACGUUGUCAUGGGGAAGUGGAUCUUUCGCCACAAGUUCAACACGGAUGGCUCCUUGGCUCGUUAUAAAGCUCGGUGGGUUGUCCGGGGAUUUACUCAACAAGAGGGUGUGGACUACGACGAGACCUUCAGUCCGGUUGUCAAGCCGGCCACAAUUCGUGUUGUGCUCAGCCUUACCACCUCUCACUCGUGGCCCAUUCAUCAACUGGAUGUCAAGAAUGCAUUUCUUCAUGGUGAUCUCAAGGAAACAGUGUACUGCUCUCAACCGGCCGGUUUUGUUGAUGCAUCUCACCCGGAUCAUGUGUGCCUUCUCAACAAGUCACUCUAUGGCUUGAAACAAGCCCCUUGGACGUGGUUCCUCUGGUUCAAGAACUUCUUGCCCUCCAUUGGGGUUUGUGCCUCCAAGAGUGAUUCCUCUUUGUUCAUCCGCCACAUUGGAUCCAACAUUGCCUACCUUCUAGUGUAUGUCGAUGAUAUCAUCCUUACGACCAACACUCCUGCCACCCUACACUCCAUCAUUGCUUCACUCAAACAGGAGUUCUCCAUGUCGGAUCUUGGUGAGUUGCAUCAUUUUCUUGGCAUAAAUGUUACUCCCAACUCCUCCGGCUUGUUUCUCUGCCAGCAACAGUACACCCUCGAGAUUCUAGACCGCGCCAACAUGCUUCAUUGCAAACCAUUGUCCACUCCUGUUGACACCUCGACCAAGCUCUCUCUUCACGAUGGUCACAUUCUCUCCAACCCUACAUACUACUGUAGCUUGGCUAGCACACUUCAAUACCUCACCCUCACCCGCCCGGACAUCUCCUAUGCCGUCCAACAAGUUUGCCUCUUUAUGCAUGAGCCGCGUGACACUCGUAUGCAACUGGUCAAACGGAUACUACGAUAUCUCCAAGGCACUUCACACUAUGGCAUUCAGCUCUACGAGUCACCAUCUCAUGACCUCAUUGCCUAUACUGACGCUGAUUGGGCAGGUUGCCUGGACACCCGCAAGUCCACUUCGGGGUUUUGUGUCUUCCUUGGCAACAACAUUAUUUCUUGGUCAUCUAAAAGGCAGCCUACCGUGUCACGAUCAAGUGCUAAAGCUGAAUACAGGGGUGUUGCAAAUUGUGUUGCUGAAUCUUGCUGGCUUCGGCAGCUCUUGCACGAUCUCAAGUGUCCGCCGACCCGUGCCACUGUGGUGUAUUGUGACAAUGUUAGUGCCACCUAUCUCGCCUCCAACCCAGUACAACACCAACGGACGAAACAUAUCGAGAUUGAUCUACAUUUCGUCCGAGAUCGUGUGGCUCUUGGCGAGGCUCGUGUGCUUCAUGUUCCUUCGAGCUCACAAUUUGCUGACUUGUUCACCAAAGGCCUUCCUUCUCAAGUGUUCCAUGAGUUUCGUGCCAGCCUGAACAUCCUACCGCACGGAGUUCCGGCUGAGGGGGGUGUUAAACCACACUCAUCUCUACUCCUAAUGUCUCAGUUGGUAGUCUGCGUUCCAGGUUUAUUUUCGUCCCACCAUUUUCGUUCGGUUUUUUUCGUCCUCCCUCCCACCUCCCAAUUUCGUUGGUUUUUUUCGUCGGUUUUUUAUUCGCCCCCUUCCACUGGCAGGACAAACCUAACGUUUAUUUGGUAACACAAUGAAUUCACAUAUGGUGAUUGAUUUAUUCUUUGGUAACCCAACUAACGAAUGGUAAUCAAUCUUUAAAUACCAAAACCAAACGUACAAGGCAAGAAUCAAUUCUUUUUUUCUGACCGAUUAUUUUUCGUCCCCCCUCCCACCUGCCUUUUCGCUUCACCGCCCACAUAAACCCAUCGGAUUAGUUACCAUAUAAAAAAUUUAAUCACAAUCAAUCAAGCAUUGAUGGGAUAUUUCCUUACAUUGAUGUGAUUCAUUUCUUAUCAUGAAUCAUACACGUCAAAAAAAGGUACGACGUGCGAGGAUCAUGGGCACAUGCCCUACAAAUCCGAAAAUGCCUAUAAAAAUUAAAUCAGAAUCAAUCAAGCAUUGAUGGUAUAUUUUAAUUGCUUUGAUGGGAUUUUUGUACACGGUACCAUUAACGCGAUCCUCCCAUCGCUGCCCUCCUCACGAGCAUGGACGGCCGAUCCUCUCGACGCCUGCCCUCAUGUGUCCUCGUGACACCAUCAUCUUCUUCUCUCCGAUCUCCUUGACUAGGAGGACUCCUCUGUGCCCUAGGCCAUGGCCGACGCUGGCGACUCCUCGGUACUCCGCCCGCGCCUUCACAUCCGACGCAGGCGAAACUCCAGCUGAUGCCACGGGAUCCACAUCCUACGCUCGGCGGCCAUCUUCCACUCCGGCUGCUGUGUGGUGCCGCCGCUGCGGGAGGCAACCUGGCAGGAGCAGACGUAGCCGUCCUCGUGCAGCCCGACCCAUGCGUCUAGCUCGGCAUCGAAGUAGCCUCGGCCUCUGAAAGGCAGCAUCCACUCCCCAUGGCGCCUCCACUUGCAGCUCCUGGUGUCGACGGAGUACGUGCCGCAGACCGCCCUGCUCCACGAGGACACGAAUAUGGUGCGCCCAUCCGGGUGCAGCGCGUAGGAGAAGAUCAUCUUGUCCUUGGUGAAGGGUGUUGGCAUGCUUUUCCAGGACCAGUCGAUGGGCAGCAGGUCGUCGUCUUCCGUCGGCGGCGGCUUCCCCAUUGCCUCAAAGGACACAGGCCGCUCCAUGAAGUGGAAGGCAAACGCGAACAUCGCGUCACCGACGCCGGAGGUCAGGAAGGUGUUGGAGCCACAAAGCAGUGCCAGUGCGUCUGGAACGGGAGGGCCGACGGCCAGUCCGACGGUGUCAGUGUCGUAGAAGAGGGUACCGGCGUGUAUGUUGCUCGUGGUGAUGAUGUAGCUGCCCAGGGCUGCGAACUUCAUGGCACGACCACGCUCAGGUGACACUAGUCAGAGGACAGGGGGCGCUGAGGUCGGGACUGUCGACAUCGAUCUUGCGGAUGGUGAAGCCCUCGUGCCAGUCGUCUAGAACCAGAUAGAGGCUCUUCUCCUUGUUGCCGCUGCGGUCGUGGUAGUAGUUGGGCUCAUCCUCCUCGCCCUGCCUUCUUCGCUUAGACAUCCCGCCCCCGACUGACUGAAUUAGUGAAUUCUGAAGUAUAUACCAGAAAAAACACGUACGCAGACGAAAACGCUCGAAUAGAUUGGACGUAGCUGGCUAACCACGGUUGAUGUAGUAUCGAUCUACUAGAAGCAACACGGAUACGCGCAAGCAAUUGAUACACACGGGCAUGCCUCGUGCCCGCUGAUCUUUCUAUUGGUCUCCGGGUGUACUGUUUAUAGGGGUGCAGGGUAAUACGCAUAUAUAGCUAUAGCUAGGACUUGCAACAUAACCGAUUCAGGACAGAACUACUGAUCCUACUUGGUGAUGGAUUCCUGCACAAGCCGGACAUGAGACGUGCUUUUUUUCUUGAGGGAAACGCCGCCGCAGCCGCCGCCAGCGAGUAACCCUAGGGCAGGGCGCUAGAAUCCCUAGAGCAGGGCGGGCAGCAAGGAGCGACGCAAGGAGGCCGUGUCGGUCGUUCCCGCCACCAACGCUAAACCCCAGGUAUUUACGUUCCGUGUCCUCCCCGCACUCUACGCUGAUACAUCAGCGAGGAGCUGACGGUGGAAAUGCUACUCCUCCCCGAACUCUAUGAUGCUUGAUUCGAUCUCGUGGUGUGGAGCCAUUAAGGUGGGCAAGGCUAUUGAGUUUGCUCCUAACGCCGACUUGGGCGAUGGGUGGGACGAAUGCGAGCAACGACCAACAGCGGACAUGGAAUCAAGCCAGCACAGGUCCACGGCAGAGCAGCGCACGUGCUGGUCUUCACUUGGUAGGCGACAGCAGUUCCUGCAUCAAGGUAUGUGCUCUUUUUUACAUUCUUGUCAUGUCUGAUUGAGAAUCGUUGUAUUAGCUCAUGGGCGCCCGUACCAGCAGUCCAGAUUUGAUUCGCGGCCAGCUCGGGUGUUGUGGAGCACAGGGAAGGAGGAGAAGGAGGGCAGGUGUUUACAAUUCGGUGCCAAGGGAGAUAAUCGAGAUGGUGGCGCAGAAUUAGAGGAUGCUAGGUGACCAGGUAGAGGAGAGACAUCACCCAACGCCCAUCGAUGCAGUGAGGAGUGUGGUGUUCUACAGUAUGGUAAUUGGUAAAAGUUUUUGGUCCUAUAAUAUCAGUGUGUGUGUGUGUGUGAGAGAGAGAGAGAUAAUGCAUAUUACAUAAAAAUAACGCUGAGAAUUUAGAUGUAUUGUUUGUCACGGAGCUGUGGCUGGCCGAUUUACAUGAAAUAAAUUCUCUUAGUUGCGGUGGCAAAUAUAAUACACAUAAUCCAUAUUGUUAUGCACUAGCGUGUGUGUGUGAAAUAGAUGGAUUAUGGUCCCAUACCCAAUAAGAUGGAUAUGUGUGUGUGUGUGUUAGAGAGAGAGAGGGAGAGGGGGAGAGAGAGUGAGGAAGUGGUACGGAGAGAGAGUGUGUGUGGGGAUUUGAUGGUAAAAAAGGUCACCAAUGUCAUUUGAUAUGUAUGAGAAUAUUAAAUGUAAUAUUAACAUGAUUAAUAUUGAACUUUUAAAGUUAAUGUGGCCCCGUUGCAAGCGCAUGAGCGUUUUUCUAGUGUACAUUUGUGUAACAGUCUGAUGUAACUAAGUCUAGUCCUAGAUUGUAGGAUCCACUAACGCUCAUGGCCUGCGUGCCUUGUUUUUAGGAAUGUUAGCUCACUCUAUGUUGUACUUUGUAACAUUGUUGAGCAGUGAAUACAAUUGAGCUCUCCAACUCCCGCUGCUUGAGGACAUCUUGAUCUCAUGACAGGCUCAUUAUCCGAAGGUUCUUGUCCAGGUUUGCUGAAGGACAGCUCUCGUUAAGCGCAUUUGUUCUGGGUCAUCACCGUGUCUACGAUGCCGUCCGCACGAGAGGACACCUUCAAAUUUGAGCCAAGCGGACGUGUCUUUCCAAAAUCAGUGUGCGUCGCUCCGAUAUGCAGGCCAACAGGUGGAUGCACAAUUUUACUCAUGCCAAACUCGCAAAUGGUGCACCGCCCUGCACGUGAAGAAAGAGAUUGUUCAGUUAGUUAAAGCAUUUCACUAUAGUGUUCGAUCUGAAAUUUCAAAGCCCCUUAAUCCAGUUAUAUACAACAUGUUGUGGGCAAAAAAAGAACAGCCCAAAAAUACCAAGAGCGAUGUGUUAAAGUAGUAGUAAUUGCAAGUCGCUUACCAAGAUAUGCAUCAUUUGGGCUGUAGUAAGGCAGGGGACAGCAGAAGGAGACCUCCGAUUCUCUGUCGUGGUAACGAACCCAGAGACUGAAGCACUGCUCGGUGUUGUUGGGUCUCUUCUCCUCCCAAACCUGAGCGAAGAAGAGCAUUCGCGUGCCGUCGGAUGCCGCGGCGAGGAAGUUGAUGUGGUAGCAAUGGGAGGAGAGAUAGGCGCUCUCUUUCGCCACGCCGCAGAUGAUUUCCAGCUCAAAUGUUGGUUCCCAUGGGUGCUGAUCGGCGUAGCCGCGGAGGAGUUGUUCAAGCUCUGUCCGUAGAAACCUCUGCCUCUUCUCCAACCAUUGCUUCCUUGCUGGAAGACCAUCCAAGUGACUUGGUGCUGGGAGUGGGGUGAUGGGAGAGCACCGGCGUCCUAGCAUUUUCUGCAACUCUGUGACGCUGGCAGCAGAGAUCAAAUGGCGCGGCCCUUUGUCUUCUCCGGAGCGCAGCAAGGAGCUCAAGGUGUCCAGAAAUUUCGGCCCUGAGGAGGCCAGGGAUGCGAGGAACGACGAGUGGUGCUCUCCGAGGGGGUGUCUGGCGGCCUCGCUGGCACGAUAAAAGGCUUGGCCGCGUGUCUCCGGCGCCGCCCUCCGAAGCAUGUCAGAUAUGUCGCAGCGGUUGGUGCUGAGGUGCUCCACGGCCUGGUGCUCUGAGAAGCCAGUGGCGACACGGACGGCGGCGACGAGGCCGUCGAGGGAGUGGACCUCGAGGCGAAGCAGGGCGUCUACGCCGAGCACGUCCGGCUCGAUGCUGGGGCGCAACGGGGGCGCGAUGACGCUGUACCAAGCGGCAUGGAUGAUGAUGUUGGACGCGGGGUCCAUGGGGCCGUAGCAGUGCCCGGCGACUAGGAUGCCGCGGAGGACACGCCGGAGCGCGGCGCGGGGCAAGCUGGCGAGCGCCUCGACGUACAUGGCGUGGAUGACGUCCAGGAGCCCCGUCUUGAGGUACUCGAUGUGCCCGCAUGUCGGGGGCGCGUCGGCCACCUCCGCCGGCGUGUGCGGAGUGUGCUCGGGGAUGAGCGCGAGGCUGGAUUCGAGCUUGCGCCGCACGGCCUCGGGAGAGCGCAGGCUGGCGAGGCUGAAUGGCGCGCACUGCUGGAACUGCAGGCCUCCUCCAUGUUGGCCGUUGAGGCGGUAAUGCAAGGUCUCGCCGCGUCCUCGUUGUGUGAAGGUGAGUUGCAGACGGGAGCAGACCGUGCGAUGGCGCAGCUGCGAUUUUAGAACGCCGAGGAUGGCCUCGACGUCAUGGACGGUGAGGCGCCGCCCUUCCUCCAAGGUGGCGAGGACGUCUUUCAUGUCGUCGGCCGUCUCCUGGAGCGCUGGCUGGCAGAGCAGCAGGAGGUCGUCGGGCAUGGGGUGCUUUGCUUUGAUGGCAGCAACGGCGAGAGCGAACUGGGCUCGUUCGCGGAGGAGGUCUGGGUGGCGGCCGACGGUGGCCUGAUCAACGGCCCCUUCGACGGCGGCCAACUGCUCGAGCUCGGCGAUCCGGAUGGCGACGAGGAGGUCCCCGCCGGAGAGGUGGAGGUAGAACCGAGCUUGGUCAUCGUUGAGGUACCGGAAGUACGUGUGCAUGAAGGCGCGGAGGCCAUUGUAAGAUCUGAAGGCGAUGGACCCCCAGUUGCUCACAUGCCGAGGAUCCGGCGGUGGCGGGAAGCGGUCCUCCUCCGGCGGCGAGUAGGCGCCGCUGCGGCGACGGCAGAGGAGGGUGAGGCCGUUGAGGAUGACGUUGGAGGCGGGGUCGAGGAGGCCGACGCAGUGCCCGCCGCGGUAGAGGCAGUCGAAGAGGUCUGGCAUCUCGUGGACGGGGAGCCGGCCAACGGCGUCGACGUAGGCGGCCUCGAUGGGGGCGCACGGGUCCGCCGCCCACCUGCCACGGACGAAGUCCGUCCACCUGUCGUCGCCGUGGAAGCACGAGAGGCGCACCAGCGGUGCGUCGUGGGCGUCGGCCAUCGGGCUCGGUUGCCGCCUGACGAAGUGGCGAACGAUGAACGCCGCCGCCUGAUGGAUCGUCGUUGGUUGAGAAACACUUGGAGGUAGCCAAGCCUACGUGCGCAACGAUGAACCUCCCUUGGCGCCAAGACCUGUGUAUGCGUGUAGUACAUAUAUGUAUGCAGCUGAUGCAGUACGUGGAGAGGGCCCGAUCCGACUCAGACUGGAAUCUGAGGAAGUCGGACGGGAAGCGAUCUGAGCCCGACGACUCCGACUCCAAAUAAGUUUCCAACGGCAAUCUAAAAUGAAGGAACUCACAACUAGAACCUCAUAGCGUCAAGGAUGCAUCUGCAGCACUGAAUUCAGGGGCCCACAUGCCAUAGAACGUCCCCCUAAGUCCAAGAUGUUAUCAGGUUUUCAAGCAGCCAAACUUUUUUAAGCCUACAUACAUGUUUCUACCCCCAGGCCCCGGCCAAAACGGAUAAAAGGCCAACCAAAUUCAGGGCACCCAAGCACCAUUACAGCAAAGCAGUAAACUGCGGACUCAACCAAAAGGCCACGCGAGGGAGGGAGGAGAAGACGCCACAGCUAGAAUCCGACGCCAUGGAUUUCGUUGCCCCAUCCCUUCCUUCCAUCAACUACUACAGCGAAGCUACUCCAUGAUCUGCAUCGCCAACGGGCUGCCGCCCGAGAUGAAUGAAUCCAUGGUUCUAGUGCCAGGGUGACCUUAAGUUCUUGAGUAGUAGAAUAGAUCCCUCAACACUCCACCAGGUAGCCCCCCACCAUCAGAUGCCAAACCUGUUUCAGAGAGAUUCAGGUUUUUCAAUCAGAAACUAGAGAUUGUUUAAGCGCAAGAACUUCUCAUUGCAUAAACCAGCAAUGAGCAGCAGGUGUUUUACAAUCAACAAUGGCAACUUUAAAUUUACUUGCUUAACAUCAUCCCAAACUGUCCUGACAACAAUGCACUCAAGCAACAGAGGACAUAUUGAUUCAAUUUCAGUACAGUGGAUGCACUAACGAGGUUUAGCCAUAAUGUCAUAUGCCAUUACUUUAUGUUGGGAUAGAGGCCACAAAAACCCCUUGGAUUUUGGGUGGCACCUUCACAUGCCACACAACAGGAAGAAAGAUAGGCUGGGCAUCUCUAAAAUUAACAAUGCCACACAAAGGCUACACCCCCUUAGAUUCAUACUGCCAUAAUUGAAGAGUCUUCCUGUUCCAAGUAAACCAGACUUGGCUAUUGACUCAGGAUCAUACCACAGACUCAAAGCCAUACUGAAAAGGUUAUCAGAAAGGUACCCUCCGAUCCAUAUUAAUUGUCGCUGAUUUAGUAGGAGUACUACAUCUUAACUGUAUCCCAUCCCAGAGAUCAAACACACUUUUGUUCUUUUCAUUAACUAAACACUACAGGUCCCCAAACUGUGUAGCUAAUGGGGAAUUUCCAAACCAUAUAUCUUCCCAAAAACAAGCAGUUUUACAAUUUCCUAAAUGCCAUCGACAGGGGAAUCACUAUUCUUCAUUCACUGACGGCCCUUCAACUUGUGGGUGACUGAAUAUGUUUUUUAGCAAGACUUGAGCAAGAAAAAAAAUACUCCAAUAGACAGAAGAUGUUGUAUUUACUUUCCUAAUCUCGGAGCUAACCAUCAUCCAUCACACCAAGCUGUCCUCUCCCACCCCAUGAAGAAAGAAGAAAGAAAGCUUAAACCUCAAAAGCUACCUCCUUAGCUACAGAAAUUUGGUCCACAACACCAGACCGAAGAAUGUGCAGAGAAAUAACCUGUAGUUUCCACAUCAUUCGUCGAUGUCCUGGACCCACUGCAGACCUUCUAACACCGACUCCACUGCUGUGUUUGGAAUGACAAGCCCAACAAUCCGAUGGUUGUCAUCUGUUGUCUGCAGGCGGACGACACGUAUCCUCUUGUGAGCCUGUCGGGCCUGCUUAUUCAGGGCCUUUUCUACCGCGCCCCACACAGGAAGUAUUAGACCACCCAAAACAUUAAUCUCCUGUAACCUUCUGCCCACAGUACAAUCGCUUCCAAGUCUGCACUUGGGCCCAUGCAUGCACUGCUUGGACGACACAUCAUAUUCUUCCUGCCAGCCCUCCCCAGUUUUAUCAGCCGAUGAGACCUUCUUGUACUUCCCUUCUAGUUCAGCCAAAGGCAUCUCCUUUGAAGCUUCCCCAACGGCAGGGCGAGUUACUCUGUACAUUCCUUCCGCUGAGCCUUCAAACGCUAGCAUGAAAUGCCUUCUGCCCAUCCACUCUCUCCGGGACUCGUAAAACCCAUCAUUACAAGAACAUGCACCAUCUUUCUGCCUUUCUUCAAGCAUUGCCUUGGCUGACUCCCAAGUAACUCCACGGUCAAUUGUAAGAGUGAACAACACCGUGGAAGCACCAGACAGGCUAUCAACGUGAACUGUCUUAGGCGGAUCUUUCAUUUCAACCCUUUUUGCUUUAAUAUCAACAAUACCAGAAUCAAGCCGUCCUUCACUUCGUGCAUUCUGAAUUACUAAGUCGAGUAUGCUUGUGAAGAGAUCAAAUAACCUAUUCUGGAUGUUUGGAGCUAAUCCCAGAAUACGGUUGAGGAAACGGGCCACAUCAUGCAUAUCAGAAUCAACGAUCCUACCAGUAAGCUUUCCUCCAUGUUUUCCAAUGCAGAUUACAGCAUCCCUGAUAAUUCCAACUGCCACUAAUGCAGCUUUUGAUCUAGUGAUGAAUUCUUGGAGACUAGAUUGAUUCUCAGAGCAUCCCAAAGGCACAACUGGAAAUGCAUCCUGUUCCAUUAUACCCCUAUACAUCAUUGUCAGGGCUUUUUUCCCAUAGGUCAUAGUUAAAAGCACUAAGUGAUGGUCCAGCUCUUCGAUCUCCUUGUGUUAAAGCUCCAAGAGACUCUAGUCGCUUUGCCACAAUUGAUGCAAAUCGCUUUUCACCACCAAGGUUGGUAAAAAGAAUCCUAUAUACAGGUGCAGAAGUUUGAUUAGAACGAUGUGUUCUCCCAAACUGCUGGGUUGCACGGUCUGCACUCCAAGGAAGUUCAAGUGUUAUGUGUACUCUUCUUCUCUGAUUUUUUACCCUUCGAUCAGCAUGUAAGGAAACACCAGCUGAUCCUGCUUCCGAUAUUAUUGCGAUGAACUUUUCUCCGUCCAUGAAUAGCUGCUUUUCAUGCAUAUUGAUCAUGUCCAAUGCAACUUCUUUCGUGUUCCGCGCCUGGUAAACAACACCUUUUCCAUCUGAUGCUCUUAUUAGCAUGCCACGCCUUCCAGUUAUUUCUGCAACAUUGUCUGGACCACCUAGCUGAUCAAUGAUAUCAUCUAGAGGAUUAUUAGGCAAAUCUAAAGCGCGGAUGAUUUCUAAAAUCUUUGACUUCCUGUCCACUGCAUUGUCAUAUCUCUUUGAUAGUUCAGCCAUGUAAGCAUCUCUCUCUUUAAAAUAGGCUUCUAUUAUCUCCUUGCAUGCAUAACAUAACCAAUCAUCUGCCAACGUUCCAGUCCAUGGUGGAAUUGGACAGCCAGGGUGAACACUUGUAGCACAAUUGGAACAAUGAAGCAACAGGCUCUUCUCCUCCUCGGUCUUGCAGAUCUGACACAUAUGCAAUUCCUCUUCAGAAUCUGUUAAUUCAUGGUCUGACUCCAAUGGAGAGUGUGUAUCCAUUCCAUCAUCACUAUCUUCCAUUUUUGCGAGUUUCCUAACUCGUCCUUUUAAGGAUACAUCGGGUCCAUAAUGCCGCUUACGCUGGACCUCCGUAACCUUUUCUUCACCUUGCUGAGAACAAUCAGGUUUUGGAGGCAAGGGAUAGUUAUCUUCUACCAGCUUAAGAAGCAACUCUCUAGGGCCAGAAAUAAAGUCCUCCAUUUCAACACCAUAUUUUGUGAUAGCUUCCUCUGUUCGAGCUUCACCAGUGCUCUGGAGACCAACCACCACACAUCUUUCUUCUGCUAAGGCUUCCUUCACCAACCUCACAACAGCAGGUACCUUUGCAGACAUACACAUAUGCCUAAAGAAACGCUGAUGGCUGGCCCAGUAUAACCGCCAUAUCUGAGCUGAAUUGCCCUUGUCUUCUGCAUAGUACUCGCUUGCCGAUAGGAGCUCAACACGCAACUCAGCCCAAAAUUCAGCUGCCUUUCUGUACAUAUUCAUCAUUCUGUCCUCCAGAGGUGCCUCCACAACAUCAAAAUCAACACCCUUAUAACUAAGUGUGCGGCAAACAUACAUGCCCCUAGCUUUCAUGUCCAUAGCAACAAGUUCAAGGGCACCCACACCACCUUUCUCAAGAGCACCUAGAAAUUGAUGAAAACUCUGAAAUGAUGUUCCGUCCCCCCAGAGACCAAGCCGGACCAUGUACCCUAAAUUCCGAGGCUCUGAUGCACCAGUUGCUGAGCAGUAAACCACCCGAGCUUCAGGUAACAUUUCCUGGAUCUCAAGAACUGAUUUACCAGUGCGAGUGGGCUGACCUCCUGCCUCAGGAAUCAAAUUUUUAGCCUUGUGGCACUCAUCAAACACCACAAGACCAUCGAACUCUGAUCCACACCACUCUACCAGCUGCCGCAAACGUGAAUACCCUUUCUCAGAGGAUGCUAUUAAACUGCUAUAAGUUAUGAAAACAACUCCGUCUGUGAUCCCAGUGGCCUUCGAGUCUAACUUAGAAUAUGGCAGCUUGUUCAAUGCGUGCACUUGCACACAUUUUGCACCAACAUCAUCCAAAUCUCUGCGGGCAUCAUAUUUCAAGUCUGAACCAAUGGAAAUCCACAACGCCUUAUGCCUCCCCUGCUGCCAAUUCUCCCAGAUCAGCCCAGCAAUUGUACGCCCUUUACCAACACCGGCUCCAUCACCAAUGAAGAAACCUGCUCUAGCACCAGUAGGGAGAUGGUGAAGAUGCCUCUGACAAGCAUACACUAUUGUCUCAAUCUGUAAGCAUGACAAUGCCCUGGUCUCAUCCAAUUCAUCCAUAAUAGCCAGGUUGUAAGUAGGUUCAGGAGGUUGCACCGCUGAUAAAGAUGAAGUCUCUACCACAGGGUCCGGAUGAGGAAGACCAAGAGAUAGCUUAGGAGGCCUAUAGUCCAUGAAAGUUUCACCAACAGUGUCACCUUCCUCUUCCUCGCGCUCAACGUCAAACGCAACCUCGUUGAUCUCCUCCGGCGGCUCGGGGGGCGGGGCCAUUGGGGCCAUCGGCAUGCGCGGUGGCGGCAUCAUCGGCAGGAAGGGCAUGUGCGGCAUUGGGACUGGGGGCGCGGGCGGAGGCGGUGGAGGAACGAAGCCCGGCCCAGGGGCGGCGGCGGCAAGGAAAUGCUGGAGCUUGGAGAUGUCGACGGCGAGGUCGACGUCGCACUGCGGGCAGCGGAAGCGGGCGAGGCCGUGCGGCACGUUGAGGAUAGCCUUGCAGCGCGCGCAGGGCAGCUGGAUCUUGGUGGGGUCCACGCCCUGCGCCCGCGGCCCGGAGCGGCGGGAGGCAGCAGGGAGAGGCGGAGGGGGAGGCGCGGGCUGAGAGUGAGGCUGAGGAGGAAGGGGAGGUGGCUGGGGCGGAGGCGGUGUAGGGGACGCCUUGGGCGGGGAGGAGGAGGGCAUGAGCUCGGGGGGAAGGCGCUGCGCCAUGCGGCAUUUGGGGCAGAUGAACUCGGUCAUGCCGGGGGCCACGGCGAGGACGCCGCGGCAGCCGGCGCAGCGCACCUGGACGGCCGCGGGGGCGGCCGCCGCCGGGGAAGGGGAAGCGCCGCCGGCGGCCAUCGCAGGAAGGGGAAGAAGAUUUCGGCCGUGGAGGGUUUUUUAUUUUUGCUCGCAGGAGGGUUUGGUGAAAGAAAAUGGGGCCGUGGAGCUCGGGCCUCCCACUCAACCCUGGCCAUACGGGUCGGUCUGCGAGCAUGAAUUUUUGUUCCGACACAUGCGAGUGUAGAAAAAAGUCAAGGCGACUAAUAGGCGCCGGUGCAUUCCCUCAAAAAAAAAAGGCGUCGGUGCAUCGGUCCAAAGUUUCGGCCGGACGCCCGUACGCCAUCAGAUGUCAGUUGUCUUAUUCGUCGGAUCUAAAAAAAGGGAUUCAUCCCCAAAAGCUCCUUCCUCGCGCAACACCCGUCCCGCUUUCCGCAUAUAUCCCACGGCACCCGCAUCUCAUGCAGCUCGUCAAUUGCGCGCACUGCACUCUCCCGCUGCUCCCCGGUCGCAGCACCAUGCCGCCCCCUACCGCUCUGUGCUAGAUCUCGUCGCUGGGAUUCACGGCAACUUCCCGGUGGCCGCAGCCCUGGUCUUCAUCCUCGUCGCCAUUCUCCUGCUGAAGCUUUUAAAAAAGCUGGUUGUAGCAAACGAGUAGGCCUCAUCCAGCAAAAAAUUGAAAACAACAAAAAAUCUCCACUUACUUGAUUGAAGCAGAAAAAAUGUCGGCUCCAGCAAAAUCGAAAUACGGUGGUAGCAAUUUUUGGGUUGGUUCCAGCAAAAACAAAAACAAAACAAGGUCGUAGCAAAAAUCCUGAUGCUUCCAGCAAAAAAGAUGGCUGGUUGAAGCAAAAUUUCUCACUUGCGGUCCAGCAAAAAGAAGAAGAAAAAGCUUAUGUACUCGCAUCCAUGGAAAUCGCUGGUUCCAGCAAAAUGCUUAAUGGUUCCAGCAAAAACAGUGGUUGGUUGAAGCAAAAAAAACCUGCCGGAGGCCGCAGCUACUUGUUCCAACAUUUUGCUGCCAUGGUUGUAGCACUUCCUGUUGCCGGUUCCAGCAAAAAAGCUGGCCGGUUCCAACAUCGUCGGCAUCGACGCCGCACGCCGCCCAACCUGUCGCAGCUCUUUCAACGCCGCGUUUCACAUCUUUUCCGGUGACCUGUCGCCGCCCAUAGCUUAGCCUCGUCGGAGUGUGCAGCGCGACGCCGGAGGCCAGGGCCGGCGCACGGCGCGUGGGCGGGUGCACGGCGAGGGCCCCGCCUCGGGCGCGCGGCUCCCCGUCGUGGCUGGUUGCAGAAUACUGGCCCAUCCGCCUUCGAGGCCGGCGACCUCGCCUGCCGGCAUGGCUAGAGGAGAUGGUGCGGUGGAGGGCUCUCACCGAAGAGGGAAUGGAGGAAGGGAACGGAAAGGGAGGGGGUCGAUAGAGGAUGGAGAUGCACUGCAUUUGGGGAUAAGAAGAAAAAGUAGUGAAGGAGAUAAGGUUUCUGGGCCCGCACUGGACACUCGCGAGGAAGGAGACCGGCUGAGCGCUUGGUCGGUCGUCCGUUCCCAAAAGUUUCCCUAAAGUCAAUGGUUGGCUGAAAAAACUUAUAUCCUCAAGAGGAAAGGAAGUCUUGAUAAAAUCUGUGACUUAGGCCCUCCCUGUCUAUUCCAUAUCUUGUUUUAAACUACCACGAGGCUUAUGUGAGCAUAUCAACACCCUAAUACGUAAGUUCUGGUGGGGAAGCAAAGAGGGACAAAGGAAGCCCAAUUGGGUUUCAUGGAGCACUAUGACAUGACCGAAGCAUUGUGUAGGGCUAGGCUUCCGUGGUAUAAAACUUUUCAACCUAGCUCUUCUUGCAAGGCAGGUGUGGAGGUUGUUGAUGGACCAGGAGUCACUGAGUGCUCGAGCGUUGAAAGCAAAAUACCAUGGCAAUGUUGAGUUCUUGAACACCGAGUUGGGGACGGUGCCAUCUCAGAUUUGGAGAGCCAUUCUAGAAGGUUGUGAUGUCCUUGUCCAAGGUUUGAUUCACCGCAUUGGGACUGGAGAAAGUACCAGGAUCUGGCAACAAAACUGGCUACCAAGAGCUCACAGUAUGAGGCCGAUUGUUAGUAGAAUCCAAAAGCCGACAUCCGGGGUUGCUGAACUCAUACUCCCAGGAGCAGAAUGGAGUAGAACUUUGAUCGAGGAAGUGUUUUUGCCCACAAAUGCACGGGCCAUUUACACGGUCCCGUUGUGCACAAGAUAUAUUGAGGAUUUUUCGGACUGGAUACACGAGAAGAAUGGAGUCUUCUCUGUUUGGUCGGCAUAUCGUAUGCUCGUAGACACAAAGAUGAGGAGGGAGGCCUGGCUCGAGAGCCGGGCUGACGUUUCAAACAAUGGAGGCGAGCAGAGAGCCUGGUCAAAGCUGUGGAAAGUGCAUGUCCCCUCAAAGGUUAAGAUCUUCUUAUGGAGACUAGCUCAAAACUCCAUGCCUACUGCUGAUUUGUUAUAUGACAGAAAUAUGUCGACAACUACCUCGUGCAAGCUGUGUGGGCGGAGGCCUCUUGGCAACACUCACUUCUACAUUACAGCGUAGCAAGAUGUGUUUGGGCUCUACAGGACCUUGAUCUUUUCGAAGCUCUCAAUAACACCCAUGACCCGGAUGCAAAGAGAUGGAUCUUUGCACUCAUAGAGAUGCCACCCCCCUCCGAAUUCACCCAGGUUUUGGUGACUUUAUGGGCCAUCUAGUAUGCUAGAAGGCAAGCCACUCAUGAGAAUGUUUUUCAAAGUCCUAUGUCGACACACAAUUUCAUCAUGAAGUACCUCCAUGAGUUACAAGACAACAAACCAGCACAGCCACCUCGACAGGUUGCUGCUGGGCCACCUCACAACCGGAUAUGAUGGAUUCCUCCUACGCCGGGGGUGGCCAAACUAAGAGUUGAUGGUGCAGUUGCUAGAGACUUAAAUGAAGGGUCACUUAGUGCUGUCUGCAGAAACUCCGAGGGCAUGUUUUCGGGAGUUUCAUGCUUGAAGUACAGAGGGAUGAACGAUCCCGCUACUCUGGAGGCAUUGGCUUGCCGUGAAGCCUUGGCGCUGGCAGUAGAUCUCCAAUUGGCUAGAGUGGUGAUUUCAUCUGACUGCCAAGGUGUAGUACGAUAUAUUCAGAACCAAACGGGAGGUAUGUAUGCACCGAUAGUAAAGGAGAUCAAUGAGACAGCUACAAACUUCCAGCGGUGCUCCUUCAUCUUUGAAGGAUGAGAGUCUAAUGUCGAGGCACACUGUCGGGGGGAUGAACCCCGGGCAGGCAAUGGAACCCGGAUCCCUUUCAAAAACAACGGGGCCAGCAUCGCCCCUCAAGUCGGCCCGCGCUUGGCCAGGUCGCUCAACCCGGCCAAGCCCCUCGACCCAGCCGAACUCUCCGACCUGGCCAGACUCCUCGACUCGGCCCUAACCACCAGCUCAAGGCGGCCGAACCCAGCACACCAAGACUUCCCCAACAAGCCAGCUCCACCCUUGGCGUGUUCCCCAACCCAGCCACGGGUCAGCUCCCGUCCCAUCUAGGCCGUACGAUGGGACGAGUCUUCAUCCACCGAUGACCGAGGCAACAGUGCCCCGCCCAUGCCUCUGGUCAGCCGGAGCGUGGCAACAGUGCCCCUCACCUACCCGCUGACCAGGGCCGGCGUGGCAACAGUGCCCCCAUCAUCACCAUUGACACCAGCAAGCGGCGACCUGACAGAGCGCCACUGUACCCGACUUGACUCGGCCACUCCCUGAUGAUCGACAAGACGACGCACAGUUCCCCUAGGCAUGCAGGGCCCACACCUAGGGGAACCCGGCGAACCACAAGCACCCAGCGGGUCCCAGCCCCGGGUCCCCAAACGCUGACGACCCGGCCCUACGGCCUUGUAGCAUUACCAUUGUACCCCUAGGGGUUGGUCUAUAAAACCCCCCAGGAGCCCUCAUGCAUACGGGCAAGCAGCAAGCACACAGGAAAUAGCCAACCGAUCAGUAGAACACACCUAGGGAGAUGGGGCAGCCUAAGCCUCGGCCAGUCUUCCUUCUCCCUUCACACAGCUCUAGGAGCAACCCUGUACUAUUGCAUAUCAACCACCCUCGGCAGGACUAGGGGUAUUAUCUCUGCGGAGAGCCCGAACCUGGGUAUGUCUUGCGUCCCGCGCUCGCUCAUGCCGACCUCGCCUCUGAAGCCCACCAGAGCCCUCGAGCCUCCUCCUCUCUUUAGCCAUCCCAUGGCAUCUGCCGUGCGCCCACCACGACAGUUGGCGCCCACCGUGGGGCAGCUCGAGGUCCUGGCUGGGAGCAUGCUUCAUACGGGGCUCCUCUCCGACUCCGACGAGCCUGUCACACUAGCGGACAACGUCAUCGACGCGCUCGCCGCCUGCUUCGUCGCACUGCGCAUCUCCGAUGCAUCCGCGGCCGAUGAGUACCCCAACGAGGUACUUAACUUCUCCGACUCUCCCCUCUCCCUCAGCGGCAGCGUUCCUACCGGGGUAAUGGACGUCCACGUGGAGUUCGUCACCGGCACCAACGCCUGCUCCUCGUCGAGAGCAACGAGGAAGGCCGCCAAAGGCAAGGCCACAGCGGAGUGGGCCUCCUUGUCCAACCCGUUGCGUGCUGCGAUGCAGAGCCUCCUCGUCCCCAUCGGCACCGACAUCGACGCCUCCAACGUUGCUGAGGACCGGGCCCAGCUCGAGGAAAGAGGCCAGCACCUGCUGGACUGGACCGAGACACUCGUCGCCACGCAGCAUCGCUUGGAUUCCGCUCAACAUGAGCGCAACGCCGCCUAUGGCUUCACGCCUACCGCGGCUGAGCCGAGCCGGGUCGCCGACGUGCGAGCCCGGGGCGACGCGAUCGUCCAGGCCUUCGGCGCCAUCCCGACCGUCUACGAGACUCUCGCGAAGAACAUGCGCACCGCCCAGGCGGCCGCGAUCGGCCUGGACCAGCUCAUAGGUGAGGAGCUGAAGGAGCGCAUCAAGCGGAUGAACGACCUCCUCGAUGCGACCAACACACAACAAUACCGCCUCAACCAACUCGCCAAGCCGGCGGGAUCCGGCUCCGCCCGCGCUGCCGGUCCCGGCGAUCAUCAGCACACGGUGUCCUCACCCCCGGGCGAGGCGCACUCCGGCCGCACCCGGACUCGGCGUGACCCGGCCCUGACGGCCGCCGGUGGCCUAGCUGACGAGCCGGCCCCGGAAAACCGAUGCGGACCCGACCAUCCCGGUCGGCGUCCGGCUCCAACCGACCCGACCCCUCGUGGCCCGGUCGCCAGCCGACUCGGUGCAAGUGCCAUCGACGACACCGACGCUCGCCACCGCCUCGACCGGCUCACCUUCUCCCUGGAGGUGGAGGAGAGCGGCGCUGUGGGGCGGGCGUGCUUCGGCCCACGCAUCCAGGAGGAGCCCUUUCCGGAAGGGUUCACGCUCCCCGCGACACCCCCAAGUACAACAGAACCAUGAAGCCGGAGGACUGGCUCACUGCUACCUCUUGAGCAUGCGUUGGUUUUCCCUUGAAGAGGAAAGGGUGAUGCAGCAAAGUAGCAUAAGUAUUUCCCUCAGUUUUGAGAACCAAGGUAUCAAUCCAGUAGGAGGCUACACUCAAAUCCCUCGUACCUGCACAAACAAAUAAGAACCUUGCAACCAACACGAUAAAGGGGUUGUCAAUCCCUUCACGGCCACUUGCAAAAGUGAGAUCUGAUAGAGAUAAUAAUAAGAUAAAUAUUUUUGGUAUUUUUAUGAUAUAGAUUGGAAAGUAAAGAUUGCAAAAUAAAAUAGAUCGGAAACUUAUAUGAUGGAAAAUAGACCCCGGGGGCAUAGAUUUCACUAGUGGCUUCUCUCAAGAUAGCAUAAGUAUUACGGUCGGUGAACAAAUUACUGUCGAGCAAUUGAUAGGAAAGUGCAUAGUUAUGAGAAUAUCUAGGCAUGAUCAUGUAUAUAGGCAUCACGUCCGCGACAAGUAGAUCGAAACAAUUCUGCAUCUACUACUAUUACUCCACACAUCGACUGCUAUCCAGCAUGCAUCUAGAGUAUUAAGUUCACAAGAACAGAGUAACACGUUAGGCAAGAUGACAUGCUGUAGAGGGAUAAACCGAAGCAAUAUGAUAUAAACCCCAUCUUUUUAUCUUCAAUGGCAACAAUACAAUAUGUGCCUUGCUGUCCCUGUUGUCACUGGGAAAGGACACCGCAAGAUUGAACCCAAAGCUAAGCACUUCUCCCAUUGCAAGAAAGAUCAAUCUAGUAGGCCAAACCAAACUGAUAAUUCGAAGAGACUUGCAAAGAUAACCAAUCAUACAUAAAAGAAUUCAGAGGAGAUUCAAAUAUUGUUCAUCUAUAAUCUUGAUCAUAAACCCACAAUUCAUUGGAUCUGGACAAACACACUAUAAAACAAAUUACAUCAAAUAGAUCUCCAAGAAGAUCAAGGAGAACUUUGUAUUGAGAUCAAAGAGAGAGAAGAAGUCAUCAAGCUAAUAACUAUGGACCCGAAGGUCUAUGACAAACUACUCACACUUCAUCGGAGAGGCUAUGGUCCCUACCAAAAAAAGACACAUCCAUGACAUUUUGGGCCGAACGAAAUUUUUUUCUGUCAUACAUAUGACACUUCUAUGACGAUAAUUGUGACAAAACCCGGUAUCAUCAUAGAUGUGGUGGGCUCCUACUUCUAUGAAAAAAAUCAUGACAGAAAAUGGGCUUUUCGUCCUGGGCGGACCGGAGACGCAGCUGCAUGGCAUUCUUUGGGCCGUCCAUGACGGAAAAAACCAUGGUAGAAGCGAGGGCGAGGAAAAUUUCGAGGAGUUCCCGGUUACGGUGGGUGGUCGGGGGCCGAGCGAUGCGCGUUUCUCUCGUACACGUACGCGCGUGUGUGCGAGGCGUUGGCUCUAACUGAACCCAAGCGAGGCAUUGGGCUCUAACUGAACCUGAGCGAUUGCACUGCAGGCUACGCGUUACUGAACCCGAGCGAUCGAUCGAUGGCUGUUAACUGAACCCGAUCAAGUGAUUCCUUUGCUACUGCUGCUAACUGAAGCCGAUCGAUGCCGCCUCUCUGGAUGAACAGUGAGUGUUACGCGGGGGGUGGAUGAACAUUGAGCGGUGGGAGUGGAUGAACAGGACCCGUGGUGUUGCCUCUGGAUGUAUAGGACCCCGAUCGAUCGAGCCGGUUGGGGCUGCAUGAACAGGACCCCGUGGAGGGCUGGAUGAACAGGACGACCCCGUGUAGGGCUGGAUGAACAGUAGACGGUGGAGGGGUGGUUGAACAGGAGCCCGUGGAGAGGGGUGGUUGAAUAGUAGCCGGUGGAGUAGCACGCGGUGGAGGCUGGAUAAACAGGAGCCCGUGGAUGAACAGUCGCAGGUGGAGGCUGGAGGAGGUCGACGGUGGAUGAACAGUAGCCCGUGGAGGCUGGAGGAGGUCGACGGUGGAGAUGAACAGUAUCCCGUGGAGUCCCAUUUUGCGGUACGCCACACCCCUCCCGAUGAACAGGACCCCUGUUUCGACCAUAGCGCUCCAACACAAGUCCAUUUCGUCCGUUUUGCGGUACGCCACACCCCUCCCGAUCAACAAGAUCCCCGUUUCGACCAUAGGAGGUCCGUUUCCUCCGUUUUGCGGUACGCCAGACCCCUCCCGAUGAACAAGAUCCCGUUUUGAACGUGGCCGGUCGAACACAAGGCCGUUUCCUCCGUUCUGUGGUACGCAAGGCCACACGACCACGCAUUCCGUUCUGACCCAGCCGGUUGGCUCCCCAUGAACACGACGACGACGUUGUUUCUCCGUUCCGACCUAGCCAUGUACACGAGCCCUGGCCAUACGUAUGCGCGAGUAGGCGUUCGAGACCCCACCCGUAUGUACACAUACGUGGCCGUAUUUUCUUUCUUGCAAAUUUGCCGAUGUGCGUACGUGUACAUGCUACGUGCGCGCCUCUACUAUGACACGUGCGCGCCUCUACUACGCCACGUGCGCGCCUCUACAUCGACCAGUAUAUAUGUACGUACACGUUCACGACCAGAAUGACAACGCUACGUACGCUUCGACCAGGUGGGCCCCGACUGUCAUGCACUUCCUUGCGUGCAAAGAUGUACCUGGUGGGUCCCAGCAGUCAGGGGGGCGAAUCUUUUUUUUUGCCCGGAUGCUCUUCCUUGCGUGCGAAGGUGUAGCUGGUGGGUCCCAGCAGUCAGGGGGCGAAUCGUUUUGUGUUUUUUUGCCCGGACGCACUUCCUUAUGUGCGAAGGUGUAGCUGGUGGGCCCCAGCAGUCAGGGAGAAAACAUUUUUUUUCAUGAAAUAGGUGCCCCGUCCGGUGGGUCCCCGCUGUCAGGUGGAGGAAUAAUUAUUUUGCGCAUAAUAAGGAGGCACUUCCUUGCUGCGGCGUGGACCCAGCUGUCAGCCUCUUCACAUACAGUCCACGUCCGAUGGAAGCCGUUCCUUGACCAUGUUGACCAUGGUGUGCCGAGAGCACCAGGGCAGUGGACGACGGCGAGGCCUAGGAAGGGGACGACGCGGAGCCGGGGAAGACGCGAUAGUGGAUGCCCACGCGUAGAGGAGUACGAGGGUUCACUGGUUCGCUGCGGUGUGAGGCUGCCGUCGCCGUAGAAUAACAGGGGGUGUGGGUGAGUAGAGGGAUGUCCUGGCCAGCGGUGGGAGUAGUAGGCGGCGGUGAGGACUCCGCCGCAUCGCAGUCGGCCACGGGAGGCAGGAGCACGGGGCACGAUCGGCGCUGGUUUGGGCGGCUGGAGCAAGAAGACUAGAGGUUGAAGAAGCACUACGGCCGUUGGAUGGACAUCGUACGGUCACUGGAGCUAGAAUCAUGCAUAUUGACUAAGUUGACAAAGCCCUCCGUCCCCGUCAGCUUAGUAGGCCCACAAGUCAGCCUGCCACUAUACCGAGUCCCAGCUAACAGGGGGAGUAUUCAUUUUUUGUGCGUAAUAAGGAGGCACUUCCUUGCGUGAAAAGAUAUAGCUGGUGGGUCCGAGCUGUCGGCGGCGGUAAUGUUUUUUUCGCAAAAUACAGAGGCCCUUCCGGUGGGUCCCUGAUGUCAGGUGGAGGAAUCAUUAUUUUGCACGUAAUAAGGAGGCAUUUCCUUGCGUGCGGUCGUGGACCCAGCCAUCGGACUCUCCACGUACAGUCCACUUCAGAUGCAUGUCGGUCGUUGACCACGUUGACCAGGACGCGCCGAGAGCACCAGGGCGGUCCACGACGGCGAGGCCUAGGAAGGAAACGACACGGAGGCAGGGAAGACUCGGCAGUUGUUUCCCACGCGAGGGGAGUACGACUGUACGAGGGUUUACUGGUUCGUCUGCCGUCGCCGGAGAAUAACAGCAGGUGUGGGUGAGUAGAGGGAUGGCUAGGCCAGCGAUGGGAGUACAAUGGGGCGGUGAGGCCUGCGCGGCAGCACAGCCGGCCGCGGGAAGGAGGGAGCAGGCAGUCUCGCCGGCGCUUGUUUGAGCGGCUGGAGCAGGAAGAGCAGAGAUUGAAGAAGCACAACGGUCGUUGGAUGGACAUCCAAUAGUCACUGCUUGUGCGUCAACCUUUUUUUAGGAAAGCCUCAAAUCUGUGGAAAACAGCAUACAACCCAUUUGCCAUUAUUUCUAAUAAUUUACAGACCAUUUGCUAAUUCUUAAGGUUUUUUUUGGAGCCCAUAUUCUUUUUGUUAGCAUUACAACCCAUAUUGUGGCCACGGUUAAAAAAUUAUACGAUUUUUGCAUAUUUCGGUGCGGUCCGAACUGUUUUUAAUCCCGAAAUUUUGACUCACAUUCAAACUGAUUUUUAAAAUAAAUGUAUAUCAAUAUAAAAUCCAACAAAUUCUCCAUGCAUAAAAAUUAAUGUAAUUUAAAAUCUCGAAAUGAAAAAAGAUAUUUGAAACUAAUUGCCGGUUUGAUGUGUUUUAAAAAUGUACAACCCAUUUCUCAUUACUGAUGGGCCAUUUUCUCGGCCAGCCAAAUGAAAGCUCUCCUCGUCUUGAAAGAUUUGUAGCCCAACAGGCUUGACAAAGCGACUUACUUGGCAAAUCACAAAAAAACUAGGUUGUGGUCGUGGACCCAGCUGUCAGCCUCUCCACAUACAGUACUCUUCUGAUGGAAGUCGUUCCUUGACCACGUUGACCACGCCGCACGGAGAGCACCACGGCGGUGGACGAUGGCGAGGCCUAGGAAGGGGACGACGCGGAGUCAGGGAAGACGCGACAGUGGAAGCAUGGGUGAGUGGAGGGAUGGCCUGGCCAGCGGCGGGAGUAGUGGGGGCGGUGAGGCCUCCGCGGCAUCACAGCCGGCCACGGGAGGCAGGAGUAGGCGGCACGAUCGGUGCUGCUUUGGGCGGCUGGAGCAAGAAGACCAGAGGUUGAAGAAGCAUGAUGGCCGUUGGAUGGACAUCGUACGGUCACUGCAGCUAGAAUCGUUCAUGUUAACUAAGUUGACAAAGCCCUUCAUCCCCGUCAACUUAGUGGGCCCACAAGUCAGCCUCCCACCAAGGUGGGUCCCAGCUAGGAGGGGGUAUUCAUUUUCUUCUUCUUAAUAAGGAGGCACUUCCGGUGGGUCCGAGAUGACAGCGGGGGAACGUUUUUUUCGUGAAAUACGGUGGCCCGUCAGGUGGGUCCUAGCAGUCAGGGGGCAAACAUUUUUUUCGCAAAAUAUGGUGGCCCAUCCAGUGGGUCCCUGCUGUCAGUUGGAGGAAUCAUUAUUUUCCGCGUAAUAAGGAGGCACUUACUUGUUGCGGCCGUGGACCCAGCUGUCAGACUCUCCACGUACAGUAUACUUCAGAUGGAAGUCGUUCCUUGACCACGUUGACCACGCCGUGUUCCGUUUCAUGCAGGCGUCCAUGGGCGUGGUGCGUCCCCACUGUCAGCCUCUCAUGUACAGUCAUCUUCCGAUGACUCUCGGUUGUUGACCAUGUUGAUCACACCGUGCCGAGCGCACCCAGACUGGAACGACCCGGAGAUGGGGAAGACGGGGCAGUGGAGUCGCAGAUGGUGAGGAGUGGGGAACUUCACUAGUUCGGGUGCGCGGCAGCACAGCCGCGGUGCCGCCCACGGGAGAUAGGAGCAAGAACAGAGGUUGAAGAAGGAGCACAGCUAUUGGAUUAACAUCCAACGGUCCAGCUGCUAGAAUCAUUUGUUGAUUAAGUUGACAAAGCCAUGCGUACACGUCCGCUUAGUAGGCCCACAAGUCAGCCACCAAAUCUGACGGGUCCUAGCUGUCAACGAGAUGAAUAUUUUUUUUCGCAAAACAAGGAGGCACUUCCUUCCGUGCAAAGAUAUAGCCAGUGGGUCCCAGCUGUCAGGUGGAGGAAACAUUUUUUCAGCUUAAUAAGGAGGAACUUUCCUUGUGUGCGACCAUGGACCUCGUGGGUCCCAGCCGUCAGGCUUUCCACACACAGUCCUCUUUCGAUGACUCUUGUUUGUUGACCACGCCGCAUAGAGCGCAGUGAGGCGGUGGACGACGGCAGUGGAGUCGCAGAUUGAGAGGAUGAGAAGGGUUAUAACUGGUUCUGUUGCGGCAUGGGGCUGUAGUCUGUGGAGAAUAACAGGAGGUGUCGAGGGGUGGAGGUAUAGCCUGGCCGGCGAUGGGGUAGCGCUUUGCAGCGAUGCGUGCUAAGCAGAGCCGCUAGCUGCCGAAGGCCAGACCAGGCGGUCCCAGCAACGCUGGAGGAAGAAGACGAGAGAUAGAAGGUGCAUGUCGGCCGUUGGAUAUAAAUCCAAUGUCUGUUGAUGACACAAUCAUUUGUUGACCAAGUUGACAAUGCCCUGCGUAGGCUUCGACCUAUUGGCCCACAUGUCAGCCUACAAAAAUGUGGCAUAUAUUUAACCCAUGUUUUCUAGAAUGUACAGUUCAUUUGCUGGGCUGGGUGAACAAAUAAUUUCACGUCAAUCAGGCCCAUUUAUAUUUUCUAAGAAAUCCCAACCCAUUUGCACUUCCUUGAAAUACACGUAUUAGGUGGGCUCGUUAUAUAUAUAAUUUUAUGUUAGAAGGAGCAAUUAAUAUCAAAGAAUAAACCGGAGAGGCACAUUUUUUUAUAUAUAUAAUUAAACAAAUUAGCGAGUUAUUGCUCAAAAUAAAAAUGAGCGCGUUAUUAUUAAAUUGGUCCUUAAAAUCUUCGCAAGCUUUUGUACGCAAUCACCAGGAUUAUCCUUGCGUGUUCCGUUUUGAAAAAAUGAUUUUCCUUGCCUGUGAGUCAAAAACGAAAGGAGGCCUCUGUUGGAGUAACUACUGUAGCUAGCAGUACUGCUGGUAUAGUAGUUUUCUUCAAGAAGCGGAAUUCAACGAAGUCAUGAUGGUUCCUUCGUCCGAGCAACUUCAAAGUGGGAAGCGGGCCUGUGAUUUGACGGCUCAUUAGUCAUUGUUACUGUGGCGUGUUCGGCUCUUGUAACAACUCUAUCUUCUCCUUAUUUAAUAUAUGGGGCAAAUCUUUUGCCUUCAUUUCAAAAAAAUUGUUACUGUGGCGUGACGACCUGGGUGACUCUACCUUGGAGUUUUGAGUGCAUGGCAAGUGGACCAGGAUGGUCGACGUCCCACAUAUUGGCGAACGGAAGUAUUCUUUCCAAUAUCGAGGAGCAAGGAAACCGUGUGGUAUAGUAUCACUGCCGAUUGGUUCGCAAAAAAUAGUAUCACUGCUGAUUUAUAAUUAUUUUUUAUUUCUGAUGAAUGCUAGCGUUUCAACUCUUACGACGAAGGGUGCCAAACACGGAACAUGCUGGAUGUCCCACACGUCAGCGAAAGGAGUGGGACAUGAACAACGUGGUAGAGCCCAACGUAAAAAAACAGCGUGGUAGAGCGUCUCCACUUCUUCCACUUCUGGGUCGGAGACCACACGCAGUAGUACUUAGUGGUAUGAACAAUACAAAGUGCGACCUGAAGAGAAAGACACGUCUAGUUGGAAGGUCUCGGGGCAUACACGUAAACAAAUAUAAAAGUUAAUAUGUGCCUCCACUAAUAUAGUAGUAGUAGAGUACUUAGGCACGUACUCCAUGACAUCACCGUGCAUUGCACGUACAACAUUUAGUGGUAGUACGUAGUAAGAGACAAAUGCCACCCAAGAGUUCCCUUCUCGACCCACUUUUGGGUGUUUGGUAGAGUGUACGGAGGGUGCAUGAGUCCACACUAGUUUAGCACAAAUACACUAGAAGCAUGCAUGAAGAGAGCAUGCAUGAGGAGGGGUAUUGAGUUGAGCAUGCAUGAAGAGGGAACAACUAUGCUGAGACGAGAACACAACCAAAUACACCCUAUAUGACACGCAUGUUCAUACCAUUUGUGCCUUUCUACUUCACUUACUACGCUACAUUACUCAGGUUCGUACGUCCACUCCUAGGUACACGUCCGUCUCGUAGUUCCAGUCCCACGUGUUCUUCAUAUAGAUGGAACGAUCCCUGCAUAACACGUGCACCUUGAUGCUAGAUGUCUUGUGUGUUGGCAAAAGGAUGAACAAAGCUCACGUAAAAAAAAUAGAGUGGAAGAACAUAGAUUCCGGACGACCGAGAAGGAGCAAGGAACCUCGUGGUGGAGCGUCUGCACUCAUAAUAUUUAAUAUUAUUCAGCGAUAUAAAAUUAACCAAUCAUUUCCACAGUGGACUGGAAGAGUACGAAACACGACAGCCCAGUGUAGUUAAAUCAUACUAGUACAUGGCUAACCCAUGCUAUCACCAUAUUUCUUGGCUUUCGUGCGAAACCUAUCUCUAGUAAUCCAGCAGCAUGUAUCGCUUCUCCCUCCUCGUCUCUAUCAAAGUGCGGCGGGCUGGCGUUUUUGCCAUCUAUUGAGGUCGGCUAACUCAUCACAUGUUAGCGACAUGCCAAGAGCAUUCAAAAAAAAAUUCCUUUCACGUUCCGUUUUCAAAAAUAAAAAAUCCUUUCAUGUACGAAUUUGCCUGUAUGCUUUGAGCAACUUGCAUGUCCUAUACUGCUCCUGUUUGAUACUCUAACUUAGCUAGAGGUUAGACUAACUCAUGACUAACCCUGAACUAACUGUAGCCAAAGAGGUGUUUGGGUGACUGGGUUAGAUUGACAAUAAAUGCACUUGAUGGAGAGAGAAAAGUGAUUUUUCAGUGGUCCCAAUGAGAACUAUCUCCAGUUAGCACCUCUUGGGUGGAAUAGUUUUUUUUGGUGGGUUCGAUGCAACUUGCUCCAAUUUAAACCCUCAUGCUUGGAUACUUUUGGGCUAUUUGAGCCCCAACUAGCUCAAACUAACUCUAACCCAUGGAUCCAAAUAGGGCCUAUGGCCAGUCUCGACGCGGAGCAGUCGCGUGCACCGGGAAGCGACGCUCUCUCGGCCGUCGCACCACUUCAAAGCCGGCGCCAGUGAGAGGUCGCCUUCGCUCUGGCCAGGCAUUAAUGCGGCACUGACGCUCCAGGGCGACACUGACCGUUUCACGCGGGAAGCGCGCGCUGGCAAGGGAGUAUAGGUUUUGAACCGUUUCAGGUGUAGUACUGGUAGUUUGCAAAACCACUCAAUUAUAUCACUCAGUUUCCUAAGAAAUUGUGGUAAAAAACGUUACUCCACAGCCCGCUUCCCUUCUCCUUCCUCUUCCACCGCCCACGCACAUCCGCGGGAAGCGACCGGUCAACCCUUAUAUAGGAGUGCUAGCACAAAAAGAUGCAUGCAUGACCACUAAAAUUUCCAUAUUAAAGCGUCGCUCCGGCGGGAGUAUGGCGUAUGUUGUUACCUUCGGCCAUGGCUACCGGGUGACGGCGACCACAGAAGAGGCGGUGGGAGGGGAAUGAAUGCAGCUACUAUUUGGGUUCGCCUUCCGGCUUAAAUAAAUGCGCAUCAUCACAUGUACCCGCGGGUGCACAAAUUGUAUCAUACGUGUCUGCUUAAGUGGGCGUCACAUAACUGGUGUGUGUGUGUGUGUGUGAGAGAGAGAGACUCUGAGAGACAGAGUGCAUGUGUGCGACUCUACUCUUCGGACAUGUACUCAACCUUUUGCAUCGGGAUAUAAGUAUAAUGGUAUUUACUUUAGCUAGUGAUUUACGUGGCCAUGUUAACGUGGUUGUGUCAAAAAAAUGUCACUUCCUGCUCGUGAUUUGCAUUAUAUAAUUACAAGCAAGAUUCUCAUGCAUUGCACGGAACAUCAAUAUGCAUUUUUUUUUACAAAACACCUGUUGUGAUUGACCCAUGCAGGAGUAAUCCCAUGUGUAAAAACUAAUGAUAUCUCAAGAAUUUUAUCGGAAAACUGGUAUCUCGAGAAUGUCAUCGAAAAAAUGAAAGAUGAGAGAUAAGGCGAGGAGGAGUGGAGCGUGGUGGUGACUGGUGAUGGGGUUAUGUACCUAGGGUAGGGUCAUGGACUUGAUCCAAGUAACUUACCCUAGGACAUCCUUAGAAGAGGUCGCCUUCCAGUCGACCAACGAGGAUUCACUCGACUGGCCUGAAGGACUCGACCACGAAGACCCACUCGACCACCAGGAGGUCAAGAGGCACUCUGCACUACAACGGCCUGUAAUCAAGUAGACUUUAUGAUAGUAAAGGCCUUUAUGUGGGGCGUUACCAGUAACGCCCCAGACUUAACUCACCUUAAACCCUCUCCUACGUGGGCUGGCUGGGGUCCUGGCGCACUCUAUAUAAGCCACCCCCCUCCACAGGCAGAGGGGUUCGGCACCUUGUAGUUCAUACACUCAUAAUCCACUCGACCGCCUCCGGGCUCCGAGACAUAGGGCUGUUACUUCUUCCGAGAAGGGCCUGAACUCGUACAUCCUUUGUGCUUACAACCUCUCCAUAGCUAGGACCUUGCCUCUCCAUACCUACCCCCACUCUACUGUCAGGCUUAGAACCACGACAGUUGGCGCCCACCGUGGGGCAGGUGUUUUAGCGAUUUUGUGGAGAAGUUGCGAUUGUUCCGAGUACUUUCAUCAUGGUGUCUGCUGGAGUUUUGGUCGAGGGUCAAGAGAUCCGUCUCGGCACUCUCACCUUCAUCGCCGACGACUCCGCAUGGCUCCAGGAGGCUCCACUCGACGUAGAUGCGCUCCCCGUCCGCGGUGCGACGCAUUUUCGCGCAUGUGUCCGCGGCGUUCUGCUGCGGCAACCGUUGACCCAGUAUCGGUCGGCUCCUCCAUCGUCCACCCUCCCGGUCUCCCGCCAGCGCAAGCGCUCAGGCCGGUCGAGGCUUCAGCGAUGGGUGAGUCACGCGGUGGCUCGCCAACCGGCCACUACCCAAGUUGCGGCAAUCGAGCCCAACGAAUCUCUCUACGGCUUGUUCGAUCAGUCGACUGGCUCCGUAGAGACUGCAUCCAAGUGCGGAAGCAGUGAUCCAGCGGCGGAAAUCUUGAUGGUCGACGGGCCCCACAGCCCUCCUGGCUUCGCCCGUGGUGGUGGAGCAGGUGACGGCGGCGACCCUACACGAGGCUACGAAGAGUACCAGCCCGAGCCACUCGACUCUCUGCAAAGAGAGGAACUUCGCCGCAGGAACGAGGAUCCCCUGCGUAUUCCCAUCGCAGGAGAAACCCCCGAGGCUCGUGCCUUGGAGGAGGCGCGUCUGGCCAAUUUGGCCGAGCGCACUCGACUGGAGAACCUUCAGCGAGCACUCGACGAGCGCGCGCGGCAACGAGUUCCCGACACCAGUCGACGUCAACUCUUCCCGUCGACUCAGGUAUAUCGAACCCCAAUUCAGAAUUUAGCAGCUGCGGCCCAUAUAGCAGAGUCCAUCCAGCCUUCGCAGUCGGAAGCUGGCAGAGGUUUGCUGCAGAUCAGGGAUCUGCUCCGGGCAGCAGGAGAUCAGAAUUCAGCCGUUUCUCAGUCGCGCAACAGAAUUCACAGUCGAUCCGUCACUGUGAAUACGGUUCAGUCGGCUCACAGCCCCAGAUCGCCUCCGCGGCACGAAGGGCGCGAGAAUCGGCGGGAUCAAUAUGGCGACAGAUUCGACCGAGAUAAUAGGCGUCGAGUGCCCUAUUCCCCUCCGAGGGGUGGGUCUUACGCUCCUCGGCAGCCAGAUGAUAGGCGUCAGUACAGUACAGGACGUAGGGUUCCAGUUGACCCUAGAGAACCAGGCUUCGACGCGCGGUCCAUUAUCGUGCAAGGGUUGGUCGACCGGAACAGAGCCCAUCGAGGCGCACUCGACAGAGAUGUACCCACAAGCAGUCGAGUGCAUGUUUCUGGUCCUGAAUGUUUCAGCAGAGCUAUCAGAGCCGCAGUUAUCCCCCCCAAUUUCAGGUUGGCAACAGGAGUCAGCAAGUUCACUGGUGAGUCUAAGCCUGAAACUUGGCUUGAAGACUACCGAGUGGCAGUUCAGAUUGGUGGUGGGAACGACGAGGUGGCCAUGAAGCAUUUGCCCCUCAUGUUGGAAGGUUCUGCCAGGGCAUGGUUGACUCAAUUACCUCCUAGCAGCAUUUACACUUGGGAAGAUCUGUCCCGAGUGUUCGUCAGAACGUUUGAAGGGACUUGCAAGCGACCAGCUGGAUUGACAGAGUUGCAAGUCUGCGUGCAGAAAGCUAAUGAGACUCUCAGAGAGUAUAUUCAGAGGUGGAUCACUUUGCACCACACUGUAGAGAAUGUGUCCGAUCAUCAGGCAGUCUGCGCCUUCAAAGACGGCGUCAAUAACAGAGAACUGAGUUUGAAAUUUGGUCGAACCGGUGACAUGACCUUGAGUCGGAUGAUGGAGAUUGCUACCAAGUACGCCAAUGGCGAAGAAGAAGACCGACUUCGAAGCGGCAAGCACAAGCCGAGUCAGUCGGAAAAGGGAAACACCAGUCGGAAACAGAAGCGGAAGGCUGAACCGGCAGCUCCUGGAGAGGCUCUGGCCGUGACUCAAGGAAAGUUUAAGGGGAAACCAAAAGGAUCCUGGAACCCCAAGAAGGUAAAGGAUAAAGAAGGGAACGACGUGUUGGAUAUGCCAUGUCACAUUCACACGAAGAAAGACGAAGAGGGGAAUAUCAUUUACCCAAAGCACACCACUCGCCAAUGUCGACUCCUGAUCCAGCAGUUUCAGGGAAAACAGUCUAAGGACAAGGAGAAGGAGUCGGACAAGGCCGAAGACAAAGAGGACAGUGAGGGAGGAUAUCCGCAUAUCAACUCCACUCUGAUGAUCUUUGCAGAUGUGGAAAGCAGAAGUCAACUGAAAGUGAUUAACCGAGAGGUGAACAUGGUUGCCCCAGCAAAGGCAAAUUAUCUGAAGUGGUCUCAAACACCCAUCACAUUCGACCAAUCUGAUCACCUGACUCAUAUUGCCACCCCUGGGAGGCAAGCUUUGGUGGUCGAUCCAGUUGUCGAAGGCACUCGACUGACAAAGGUGCUGAUGGAUGGUGGAAGUGGGCUGAAUCUGUUAUAUGCAGACACAUUGAAAGGUAUGGGCAUUCCAAUGUCCCGACUGAGCACUAGUAACAUGAGCUUUCAUGGAGUUAUACCAGGGAAGAAGGCCGAGUCACUCGGCCAGAUAGCUUUGGACGUAGUGUUUGGUGAUUCGAAGCAUUUUCGCAAAGAAAAGUUGACGUUUGAGGUCGUGGAUUUUCAAAGUGCAUAUCAUGCCAUUUUGGGGAGACCAGCCUAUGCACGGUUCAUGGCUCGACCAUGUUACGUGUACCUCAAAUUGAAGAUGCCCGGUCCCAAAGGUGUGAUCACUGUCUCCGGUGAUAGGAAAAAGGCAGAGGAGUGCUUUCAGAAGGGCUCCAAGAUUGCCGAUUCCCAAGUGACAGCGGUCGAGUUCGAAGAAUACAAGCAAAACGCAGAUCCGAGUGACUUGCUGCGAUCCAAGAAGCCCGCCACAGAGUCUGCAUUCCAGUCGUCCGGUGAGACGAAGCCUGUUCACAUUCACCCGACCGACCCCGAAGCAGCUCCAACCCGCAUCUCCACAACACUCGACCCAAAAUAGGAAGAAGCGCUCAUCCAGUUCCUCCGUGAGAACUGGGACAUUUUUGCAUGGAAGCCCGCUGACAUGCCAGGUGUUCCCAGGGGACUGGCUGAGCAUCGCCUAAGAGUCGACUCGUCUGCAAAACCAGUCAAAGAGCAUCUUCGGCGGUCCGCCGUCCAGAAGAGAAAAGCCAUCGGUGAAGAAGUGGCUCGACUGUUGGCGGCAGGAUUUAUCCGAGAGAUAUACCACUCCGAGUGGCUCGCUAAUGUCGUCAUGGUUCCUAAGAAGGACAAGUCGCUCCGAAUGUGCAUUGAUUUCAAGCACAUCAACCGGGCCUGCCCGAAAGAUCACUUUCCUCUCCCUCGCAUAGAUCAAAUUGUUGACUCGACCGCGGGAUGCGAGAGGUUGUCUUUUUUAGAUGCUUACUCCGGGUACCACCAGAUCCGUCUGUACGGGCCCGAUGAGGUAAAAACAGCUUUCAUCACUCCAUUCGGGUGCUUCUGCUAUAUCACCAUGCCAUUCGGCCUCAAGAAUGCCGGAGCCACAUUUAUGCGAAUGAUUCAGAAGUGUCUACUCACUCAAAUCAGUCGGAAUGUGGAAGCUUAUAUGGAUGAUAUUGUUGUCAAGUCACGAAAAGGUUCCGACCUGCUCGCUGACCUCGCCGAAACAUUUGCCAACCUUAGAAGGUAUGAUAUCAAGCUCAAUCCAUCAAAGUGCACAUUUGGAGUUCCUGGUGGCAAGUUACUCGGUUUUCUCGUUUCCGAACGGGGAAUCGACGCUAACCCAGAGAAGAUUGGCACUAUUCUCCAAAUGAAACGCCCUGUGCGAGUGCACGAUGUCCAGAAGCUUACUGGAUGCUUGGCCGCAUUAAGUCGAUUCAUCUCACGACUCGGUGAAAAGGCACUGCCUCUUUACCGACUGAUGAAGAAGGUUGACAAGUUCGAGUGGACUCCAGAAGCUGAUGCAGCGUUUGCCGAGCUAAAAGCUCUGCUCUCCACCCAGCCGGUGCUUGCUGCUCCAAUCAGCAAAGAGCCUCUGUUGCUCUACAUCGCAGCCACAGGACAAGUCGUCAGUACUAUGCUAACGGUCGAGCGGGAAGAAGAAGGAAAAGCUCUCAAAGUUCAGCGCCCAGUGUAUUAUUUGUCUGAAGUCUUGACUCCAUCCAAGCAGAGAUAUCCUCAUUAUCAGAAGCUUGUGUAUGGAAUAUACAUGACCACAAAGAAGGUUGCUCAUUAUUUCUCUGACCAUUCCAUCACAGUCAUCAGCGAUGCUCCACUAUCAGAGAUUUUGCACAACAGAGAUGCAACUGGUCGAGUGGCCAAAUGGGCGAUUGAACUUUUCCCCUUGAUAUCAAGUUUGAGGCAAAGAAAGCCAUUAAGUCCCAGGCGAUAGCAGAUUUCCUCGCCGAGUGGAUUGAACAACAGCAGCCGACUGAAGUUCACUCGGAGCAUUGGACCAUGUUUUUUGAUGGCUCUAAGAUGUUGAAUGGUUCCGGUGCUGGGGUUGUCCUGGUUUCCCCCAGAGGAGAUAAGCUCAGAUAUGUGCUCCAGAUUCACUUUGAUUCCUCCAACAAUGAGGCAGAAUAUGAGGCCCUCCUAUAUGGGUUGCGCAUGGCCAUUUCACUCGGCGUCCGUCGCCUAAUGGUCUAUGGCGACUCGGAUUUAGUGGUCAAUCAGGUGAUGAAAGAGUGGGACGUGAGAAGCCCAGCCAUGACUGGAUACUGCAGUGCAGUGAGGAAGCUGGAAAAGAAGUUCGAGGGGUUGGAGCUCCAUCAUAUACCCCGACUGAAAAACCAAGCAGCUGAUGAUCUAGCAAAGAUAGGUUCCAAGAGAGAAGCCAUUCCGAGUGGUGUGUUCUUGGAGCAUAUACACACUCCGUCAGUCAAAGAAGAUCCUUUCACCGAAGAAACUCCGCAGCCCAAGAGUGCCACAGAUCCGACUGAAGUUGAAGUCCCAGCGGUGGUCGACUUGAUCAUGGAGGUUUUGGUGGUCAUUCCCGACUGGACGAUUCCGUAUGUUGCAUAUAUCUUGAGGAAAGAGCUUCCGGAGGAUGAGGAAGAGGCUCGACAGAUCGUCCGUCGAUCUAAGGCCUUUACCGUAAUCAAAGGACAAUUAUACAGAGAAAGCGCGACUGGAGUCGGUCAGAAGUGCAUAACACCAGAAGAAGGUCGACUCAUCCUCAAUGAUAUUCACUCGGGGACCUGUGGUCAUCAUGCGUCCUCUCGGACCAUCGUGGCCAAAGCAUACCGAGCCGGAUUUUACUGGCCAAAGGCGAAUGAGAUGGCAAAAGAGAUAGUGGAUAAGUGCGAGGGAUGUCAAUUCUACUCGAAUAUGUCACACAAGCCUGCGUCGGCUCUGAAGACCAUCCCACUCGUCUGGCCUUUCGCAGUAUGGGGAUUGGACAUGGUCGGCCCCUUGAGAACAGGACGAAGUGGCUUCACGCAUGUACUGGUGGCAGUCGACAAGUUCACCAAGUGGAUCGAGGCUAAACCAAUCAAGAGCCUUGACACCGGUACUGCUGUUAGCUUCAUCAGGGAACUAAUAUUCAGAUAUGGAGUCCCGCACAGCAUCAUUACGGAUAAUGGGUCGAACUUUGACUCAGAGGAAUUCAGAGCUUUCUGCAACUCCCAGGGCACACGGGUCGACUACGCUUCAGUCGCCCAUCCGCAGUCGAAUGGACAAGCAGAACGAGCUAAUGGACUGAUUCUUAAGGGAUUGAAGCCUCGACUGAUGCGUGAUCUCAAACACGCGGCUGGAGCUUGGGUCGAUGAACUUCCCUCUGUACUCUGGGGACUGCGGACCACACCUAAUCGGUCGACCGGAAGAACUCCAUUCUUCUUGGUCUACGGAGCCGAAGCGGUCUUACCAAGUGAUCUUCUGCAUAAUGCUCCCCGAGUCGAAAUCUACAACGAAGCAGAAGCUGAACAAGCGCGGCAGGACGCAGUCGACCUUUUAGAGGAAGAAAGGGAGAUGGCUCUGAUCCGGUCGACCAUCUACCAACAAGAUCUGCGCCGUUUCCACGCCCGAAAUGUGAGAGGUCGAGCCUUCCAGGAAGGAGAUUUGGUUCUCCGAGUGGAUUAGCACAAACCACACAAGCUUGCUCCUUCUUGGGAAGGCCCCUUCAUAGUCACCAAGGUCCUCCACAAUGGGGCGUACCGUCUUUACAACGUCGAGCAUAAUUUCGACGAGCCCCGAGCUUGGAACGCGGAGCUACUCCGCCCAUUCUACACUUAAGUUUUAUCAUUCGGAUGAGUUGCAAUAAAGUACUUUUGUAGUUCAUGGACCUCAAAAUAAUAGUGUCAUAGUUCCUCCAUAAUAUCUGUCACUUUUUAUUUUUGUCCAAUGAAAUUCCCCUCAGUGGGUGACUUAGCUGCGAAUCCGUUUCGCCUAAGUUUGUAAAAAUCCUACCGAGUGGUGAGCCAGACUCCCACUCGGAGGCUUAGCUGCGAAUCCGUUUCGCCUAAGUUAUCAAAAUCCUACCGAGUGGUAAGCCAGCCUUCCACUCGGAGGCUUAGCUGCAGCCUCGUGCUCGCCUAAGUUAUCAAAAUCCUACCGAGUGGUAAGCCAGCCUUCCACUCGGAGGCUUAGCUGCAGCCUCGUGCUCGCCUAAGUUAUAAAAAUCCUACCGAGUGGUAAGCCAGCCUUCCACUCGGAGGCUUAGCUGCAGCCUCGUGCUCGCCUAAGUUAUAAAAAUCCUACCGAGUGAAGAGCAACCCUCUCACUCGGGGGCUUAGCUGCAGUCCAAGCACUCGCCUAAGUUAUAAAAAUCCUACCGAGUGAAGAGCAACCCUCUCACUCGGGGGCUUAGCUGCAGUCCAAGCACUCGCCUAAGUUGUAAAAAUCCUACCGAGUGGUGAGCCAGGCUCCCACUCGGAGGCUUAGCUGCGAAUCCGUUUCGCCUAAGUUAUCAAAAUCCUACCGAGUGGUAAGCCAGCCUUCCACUCGGAGGCUUAGCUGCAGCCUUGUGCUCGCCUAAGUUAUCAAAAUCCUGCCGAGUGAAGAGCAAUCCUCUCACUCGGAGGCUUAGCUGCAGCCUCGUGCUCGCCUAAGUUAUCAAAAUCCUGCCGAGUGAAGAGCAAUCCUCUCACUCGGGGGCUUAGCUGCAGCCAUGUGCUCGUCUAAGUUAUCAAAAUCCUACCGAGUGGUAAGCCAGCCUUCCACUCGGAGGCUUAGCUGCAGCCUCGUGCUCGCCUAAGUUAUAAAAAUCCUACCGAGUGAAGAGCAACCCUCUCACUCGGGGGCUUAGCUGCAGUCCAAGCACUCGCCUAAGUUGUGAAAAUCCUACCGAGUGAAGAGCAAUCCUCUCACUCGGAGGCUUAGCUGCAGCCUCGUGCUCGCCUAAGUUAUCAAAAUCCUACCGAGUGGUAAGCCAGCCUUCCACUCGGAGGCUUAGCUGCAGCCUCGUGCUCGCCUAAGUUAUAAAAAUCCUACCGAGUGAAGAGCAACCCUCUCACUCGGGGGCUUAGCUGCAGUCCAAGCACUCGCCUAAGUUAUAAAAAUCCUACCGAGUGAAGAGCAACCCUCUCACUCGGGGGCUUAGCUGCAGUCCAAGCACUCGCCUAAGUUAUAAAAAUCCUACCGAGUGAAGAGCAACCCUCUCACUCGGGGGCUUAGCUGCAGUCCAAGCACUCGCCUAAGUUAUAAAAAUCCUACCGAGUGAAGAGCAACCCUCUCACUCGGAGGCUUAGCUGCAGCCCUGUGCUCGCCUAAGGUAUAAAAAUCCUGCCGAGUGGAGAGCAACCCUCUCACUCGGGGGGCUUAGCUGCAGCCCAGUGCUCGCCUAAGUGGACUAAAGAAUAAGUCGAUUGCAGUACAGGCACCUUGCUUUGAACCUGCAAAAGACAUUCCGAGCCGAAGGCAAUCGUAUUCAAGCACCAAAUCCAAGUUUGAAUCGACAUCUAAAGGAACCGAAAGUGCUCAGGCGUCAAGCCUGUUAAGGUUUGUCGGUUACAAUUCCACUCGGCAUACCGAGGCAAAUUUAAAGCGUCGAGCCAGAAGAAGUUUUUUACCCCUCCUGUGGAGGGCUGGAAGGUGCAACAAAUUCAUCAAGGUCAAUCCCGUCGGCGAUCCGAGUGGCAGCUGCAAGGAAAGUUUCCAUAAAGGACCUGAAGUCGUGCUUCUUGGUAUUGGCCACCCGAAGGGCCGCCAGCUUCUCUUCUCGCGCAUCUUUGCAGUGGACUCGGGCCAGACACAGAGCGACAUCUGCACCACAUCGAGCCGAGGACUUCUUCCACUCUUGCACUCGACCAGGGAUCGUGUUCAAGCGGGCCAUCAGCGACUCAAGGUCAUUCUGAAGUGUCUCCUCAGGCCAGAGCGUCGAGUCGAUGCGAGAUGUGGCGGCCUUCAGCCUUGCGAGAUAGUCCACGACAGCUACAACACGAGACUCCAGUCGGAAAACAUCCAUGGCAACUUCGUCGUUCACCGGAGAAUUGACGGGGUCGAGGUUUGGCUCCAGUCGGCUGGUUUCUUCUUCAAAGUUUUGACAAAAUUCUGCAAGGAUGAUCACUAAGUCAAGGGGAUAGUCGAAUGGAAAAAGCCACAAUUGGAAAUAUUUGCCAAACAUGGAGGUUUACCUUCAAGCAUAAGAAACAGCUUCUUGGCAAGGCCACUCAGGAAGGCCUCCAGUUCAGUUUUCUUCUCAGUCAAUUUGCUGACUUGGUCGGUCAGGGCAGCUUUAUCAGUUUUCAGUCGACUGACCUCCUUGUUGGCAAUCCCAAGAGCAGCUUUCAGAUUGGUAUUGUCUUGUUCGAGCUUGAUGACUGAAGCUAACUUCUCGUCAGCAAGCUUGAUCUUCUCAGCUAGCUCAAGGUCUUUCUUCUGCUGGGCCUCCCUUACCUUACCUGCAAGUUACAGCAAGAUCAUAUUUUGAAACAAGCAAGGGGAAAAGCAGUCGUCAGGGUCUCACCAAACAUACCUUCGGUCUCCUCCUUUGCCUUUGUCAGCUUCUCCUGAACCAGCUUCAAGCUCAGCUCGACUUGAGUAUGUUUUUGUUCCAGCUCUGAGUAGCGAGCCACAAGAUCACAGGAGUUCUGCGAAGAACCAAUCGACUAAAUGUCAAAUAUAAUUCACUUCCGAGUGAAAAAGGGAAAAACACACGUUUCUAAGACUACAGCCAAAUACAAGCAUUCGACCGUAGUCUCGGGGACUACACCCAGUGGGUGCACUCAGCGUGCCCCCACUAAUCCCGAUGAAGACAAAGUCGACCAGUCGACCUCAAAAAAAAAGAGAGAUGCAUUCUCUAAGACUGUGAUCAACUGCAAGCAGUCGACCACAGUCUCGGGGACUACACCCAGUGGGUGCACUCAGCGUGCCCCCACCGGUUUGUGAAAUCCAGUCGACCAGUCGACUGACAGAAAGAUUGACGUCAUAAAGCCUAAGGCCGACUGCCAGCAGUCGACCUUAGCCUUGGGGACUACACCCAGCGGGUGCACUCAGCGUGCCCCCGCUAACACGGAGUUUAUUCGACACACCCACUGGGUGACUACUAUAAAUUCCGGAAAAGAAAAGUUUUUGGUAGCAUAUCCAACAGAACAAACAGUGGUCGACUGACCUGGACAUUGCUUUGGAGGGCAGAACUGGCGUCAUAAGCUGCCUGGCUCGCAUCCCGGAUGGUCUUCAACUGCUCCAUCAUGAGUCCCGCCUGGCGUAUUGCCUCCUUCGCUGCGCCAGCUUGGUCCUCUGGGACGUGGUGCGUCGUGAAGAGGGAGGGCUGCUGAGCACUCGUCAGCGGAUUUGCGAAGGACACCGUGUGUCGAGUGGUGUUUUCUUCCUCCACAGUCCGAAUCUCAGGCGCCGUCACGUCCUGAGGCACCUUACUGGCGGACGCUUUCCGACUCCUCCUGCGUGUCAGUGGUUCUUCAUCCUCGUCGUCGUCAGGGAGAUUGAUAACAGUGUUGGGUGGAGCUGCGGAGAAGAAUCAGGAUCAGAGAUCGCGAGUCAGUCGACUAAGAACGGUGUUAAGAAUACAGUACCUGGGUUCGAAGUUGCUGCAUCUUCCAUCUCGUGGUCGUCAGCCCGAGCUGAGGUUUCAGAAGUAGCAGCACUGCAACUCCAAAGGAUCAGUCGACUAACUUCAGCGUCGACCAGAGAUAAAGUUCACACAGAAUAAGAAAAUAUGAGCAACACAGUUACCCUGAUAUGGUGGGGAUGGACACCUUCAUCUUCGGCAAGAGUUUGAUCGGCUUCGACGAGGCCGCCCUGGGCUGCUUCGGCGCCUUUUCAGUCGGCACCGGAGAGGUGGUCCGAGGGCGCUUGGUCGACUGAGUGGCGGUCACAACCCCCUUACCAUGUUCGGUCGAAGGGUCGUGGACAAGCUUCGACCGCCUUUCUGAGCGCGGCGGUACGACCUCCUCCUCCUCCUCUUCCUCGUCCUCAACGUCGUCUUCAUCACCGACAUCAUCAUCAUCGUCGUCAUCAUCCUCUGCAACAUCCGAGUCCCAUUCCUCCUCUUCUUGGCUCUCUCCCCCGCUCGCCUCGCCCUCCUCAGUCGAAGCUUGUGCCCCAUUGGGCAUCGAGUACAGCUCGGUGAGGGCCUAGCAGAUGCCCAGACAAGGAUCAGUCGACCAGUCGGCAGGGUUAACAGAAAUGAAUACGACGAGGGCGCAGUGGAGAGCAGAGCAAGUGUACCUUGUUUGAGUCGCUGUUGUGGUCGAGUGGAGGAAUCCUUCUGGCUCCACGUGGGUUGUCCUUGUUUCCGGUGACGGCUACCAUCCAUCUUUCCAGAGUGACAUCGUCGACUGCUUCUGGAUGGACUCUAGUCUCGUCUUCGGUCCCACAGUACAACCACAUGCAGUGGCUUCGGAACUGGAGAGGCUGGAUGCGACGCCUGAGGAAUACCUCCAGGAGGUCCAUGCCCGUCACUCCCUCCCGAACCAACUGCACCACGCGCUCCAUCAACAUCUUCACGUCAGCUUUCUCCUCCGGAAUCAGCUUCAGAGGGGAAGGCUUGCUCACUCGGUCCAUGGUGAACGGAGGGAGUCCACUCGACUGCCCUGGCGUCGACUGGACCUGGCAGUAGAACCAAGUCGACUGCCAGCCUCUGACGGACUCGGGAAAGGUCAUGGGCGGGAAGGUGCUCUUAUUCCUCACCUGAAUCCCCAGGCCUCCGCACAUUUGGACGACUCGGGUUCUCUCAUCACCUGGGCUCGCCUUCUUCACGGUCUGAGAUCGACACGUGAAUAUACGUUUGAACAAACCCCAGUGCGGUCGACAGCCCAAGAAACCCUCACACAUGGACACGAACGCGGCAAGAUAGGCAAUGGAGUUUGGGGUAAAGUGGUGGAGCUGCGCUCCGAAGAAGUUCAAAAAGCCACGAAAGAAAACACUCGGCGGCAAGGAAAACCCGCGAUCAACAUGGGUGGCCAACAACACACACUCACCCUCUUCUGGCUGGGGCUGCCACUCCUUCCCCGGAAGCCUCGCAGCUUCGUGGGGGAUCAAGCCCUCGUUGGCCAUGUCGAGGAGGUCAUUCUCCGUGAUGGUCGACUGGAUCCAGUCUCCUUGGACCCAGCCCUUCGGCAGGCGGGAUCUGGACGAGGACCCUCCGCGGCUGGUGGAUCUCCCCUUCGCCUUCUCCGAUGCCGACGCCUUCUUUGCACGCUCCAGCGCCGCCGUCUUCUCCUUGGCCAUGGUCGCCGGCGAGAUGCGCGAAGGGAAGUGGUGCGGGGGCGAGAGCGAGCAUGCUGAGCAGGGAGGAAGGAAGCAGAGAGAGGGGGAGAAUGCUAAGGCGCAACACAGAAAUCCUCGCUGGGCACAUUUAUAAGGUCCCUUCCGAGUGGAUGACAGGUGGGCCCGGUCGAUCUAAUCAUAUCUGGAACAGUUAUGCAGACGGGAUACGUGGCGAAAAAGGCGGCGCGGAGAUCGAGGCGUCCAUGCCCCGUCCCAUCCGAACGCCACGGUCCGCCCCGCUUCGCGCGCGCCCCAAAAUUUCGCAUCCCGCGGAAUCCGCGAGCAACAAAUCAGUCUGUCAGGCGCGGCGUUUCCGGCGAUCCGUCGCUCGGAGAUCGUCGAAGCCUGAAAGAUCACUCGACGCAAAAACAGAAUGGAUCAAGUCGACUGAAGGCAAGUUGUUUCCUGUCGACAAAGGGAUUCUUUGGUCCAGAACAGCGCACAACCGGAGCGCAAAGGUUAAUCGGAAACGACAUCAACUCCUUCUUCACUCAAAGCCUCAAUCCAUUCGGGGGCUAAUGAUGGGGUUAUGUACCUAGGGUAGGGUCAUGGACUUGAUCCAAGUAACUUACCCUAGGACAUCCUUAGAAGAGGUCGCCUUCCAGUCGACCAACGAGGAUUCACUCGACUGGCCUGAAGGACUCGACCACGAAGACCCACUCGACCACCAGGAGGUCAAGAGGCACUCUGCACUACAACGGCCUGUAAUCAAGUAGACUUUAUGAUAGUAAAGGCCUUUAUGUGGGGCGUUACCAGUAACGCCCCAGACUUAACUCACCUUAAACCCUCUCCUACGUGGGCUGGCUGGGGUCCUGGCGCACUCUAUAUAAGCCACCCCCCUCCACAGGCAGAGGGGUUCGGCACCUUGUAGUUCAUACACUCAUAAUCCACUCGACCGCCUCCGGGCUCCGAGACGUAGGGCUGUUACUUCUUCCGAGAAGGGCCUGAACUCGUACAUCCUUUGUGCUUACAACCUCUCCAUAGCUAGGACCUUGCCUCUCCAUACCUACCCCCACUCUACUGUCAGGCUUAGAACCACGACAACUGGUGGUCGGAAUGGGCGGAGGCAUGGGGAUGGACAACACCGGCAGGCGGCAGCGGGCACCAUGCAUGCUAGAUUGUUCCAGAGACUUAUUCCUUUUUUAAUUGCUGAUCAAUGAGGUUGUGGGAGAUAAUGAUGUGGAGAGAGGUGCGGGUAUCUUUUGUAAAAUUAUCAUAGUUUGCUUUCUAUUCGUCAGAUAUAGAUCAUACGAUGUGUACUACAAGAUGGCAGGCACACCAUCAUCGCCAACUCGUUUUUUUAUAAGGGUACAAAUGAUAAGUUUGCUGACUACUAAAGUAAAGUGGAAUUUGUCCAUGUUAUGCAGGUAAAUAAAGGUGAUUGUUUAUCAUACGGGUAAGGUUGGAUGAAGGGUGGUAGGAACAAAUGCUCCGCCUAGAGCAUGUGUGUGUGAGAUGGAGUCGUAGUGUGUGUGUGGGGUGUGUGUGUGUGUGUGUGUGAGAGAGAGAGAGAGAGAGAGAGAGAGAGAUGGAGUCUUAGUUUUUGUGUGUGUGUAUGUGNNNNNNNNNNNNNNNNNNNNNNNNNNNNNNNNNNNNNNNNNNNNNNNNNNNNNNNNNNNNNNNNNNNNNNNNNNNNNNNNNNNNNNNNNNNNNNNNNNNNNNNNNNNNNNNNNNNNNNNNNNNNNNNNNNNNNNNNNNNNNNNNNNNNNNNNNNNNNNNNNNNNNNNNNNNNNNNNNNNNNNNNNNNNNNNNNNNNNNNNNNNNNNNNNNNNNNNNNNNNNNNNNNNNNNNNNNNNNNNNNNNNNNNNNNNNNNNNNNNNNNNNNNNNNNNNNNNNNNNNNNNNNNNNNNNNNNNNNNNNNNNNNNNNNNNNNNNNNNNNNNNNNNNNNNNNNNNNNNNNNNNNNNNNNNNNNNNNNNNNNNNNNNNNNNNNNNNNNNNNNNNNNNNNNNNNNNNNNNNNNNNNNNNNNNNNNNNNNNNNNNNNNNNNNNNNNNNNNNNNNNNNNNNNNNNNNNNNNNNNNNNNNNNNNNNNNNNNNNNNNNNNNNNNNNNNNNNNNNNNNNNNNNNNNNNNNNNNNNNNNNNNNNNNNNNNNNNNNNNNNNNNNNNNNNNNNNNNNNNNNNNNNNNNNNNNNNNNNNNNNNNNNNNNNNNNNNNNNNNNNNNNNNNNNNNNNNNNNNNNNNNNNNNNNNNNNNNNNNNNNNNNNNNNNNNNNNNNNNNNNNNNNNNNNNNNNNNNNNNNNNNNNNNNNNNNNNNNNNNNNNNNNNNNNNNNNNNNNNNNNNNNNNNNNNNNNNNNNNNNNNNNNNNNNNNNNNNNNNNNNNNNNNNNNNNNNNNNNNNNNNNNNNNNNNNNNNNNNNNNNNNNNNNNNNNNNNNNNNNNNNNNNNCCAGGCGGAAGUUAUGUGCACAAAAGAGGAGAACGAUUCGAUGUGGCGUUAUGAUUGAGGGUAAUUAACUACGUAUGGAGACACAGAGACCUUGAACGUGCAUAUGUGAGAGGUAUACAUCUAUACAUGGGAUGUGUGUGUGUGCGCGCGCAUGAUCGAGAUAAAAGAAAGAAGAGAUAAGUCAUAAGAUCAACGACAUGGGAGAGACGGAUCGGCAUGACAAUAUGCAUGCAUGUGAGAAUGUAGGGAAGAAGGCCCGACAAUUGAGCAUGUGUUUUUGUCUUUAAGAGAUAGUGGCGUGGGCUGGAGCAUGCAUCUAUGGCUAGCAGAGGGAGUGAGUCACAACGAUUGUGCAAAAGAGAUCAACCUAUAAAUGCAUAUGUAUGGAGAGACAUAUAUAGUGUGGGUGAUAGGAAGCAAGACUCGGUGCGAGAAAGAAAUGUUGACGGAGAAACUACAGAUAGAUACAGAGAUGGAGAUGCUAGCUAGAGGGACAUCUGCUAGUUUGGGUGUUGGAGAUGACCGACGGGUGGUUCAGAGGGUGAAGUUAUAUAUAUGUGUGAGAGGGCACAUGACUGCAUGUAGAGAGAAACAUAUGUAGUGUGUGUGAUAGGAAUUAAGAGUGAGGGCGAGAAAGAAGGUUGAUGGAGAAACAGAUAAAUAGAAAGAUAAAGAUGCUAGCUAGUGUGCGUUAGAGAUAGGAGUUGAGUGGAUCAGAAGGCUGAGUUAUGUGUGUGGGUGUGAGAGAGAUAGAGAGAGGGUGCAUGUGAGUCACAUACAAACAGAUAUCAGAGAGAAAUGAUAUCCCGAGAGACGGAGUUUUGUGUCUGCGAGAGAGAAAGAUAUUUCACAACGAGAGUGAUAGCUAGAGAGAAAUAUGAGGGAACACAAGAUAUAUCUAGGGAGAGAGAGUGUGUGUGAGCGACAUACAAGAGAACAAUGGAGAAAUAUGAGACCCUGGGAGACAGAGUUUGUGUUUGUGUGUGAGAAAGAGAUGUUGAAGAGGAAGAGUCGUAGGUUCUCAUAUCUAAGGAGCGAAAGACAUCUCUGUAUGAGGGGUGUGCGAGUGGCACACAUGGGAAUAGUAGAGAGAAAUGAGACCCCGGGAGACAAAGUUUUGUGUUUGUGUGAGAGAAAGAGAUUCCACAUGGAGAAUCAUAGUUAGAGACACAAAGGAGGGAGCAAGAUAUACUUAGAGAGAGAUAGAGUGAUGAAGGUCGAGGGAGAGAGUACCGUCAGUGUGUUAUGAAGAUAAAAGAUCAUUGUCGACAUACAGGUAGCAUGAGAGAUACCUGAGAGACGAUGAACGCGUAUAGGUCCAGAGAGAUAGUCCUAUAUAAGCAUGAGUGAUAGCUAUAUGAGAUGAAUAUCUGGAUUAAAGGGGAUUCAAAUAUUUAAACUGGAUAUCACGACAUCGAUAAUAUCAUAACGCAAAUUGGUGUAUCAAACACCAUAUUCAUUUGAAUUUGGGCACACGUGUAAUGUUAUAUAGUUUAUCAAUAUUGGUGAUCCAUAGAUUCUUUAAUUACAAACAAUGCAUGGUUUAUAUGCAAUUAGUGUCUAAACGGGAUUACACUAUAUGUUGCGUGUGUGAAACACAUUAUACAUGUUUGAGCAGUAAAAAAACCCGCAUGAAAGACACAUUAAUUGGAGACAGUUAGCGAGGAAUGCAUACAUUGGAUUUCAACAUAAAGUGGUUUCAAAUAUUUGAAAAUCCAAAUUGAUGGAUACAACCUUAUGAAUCUGAGAUCAUGCCAUUUGUAAACCAUAUUUAUGUAUGAAUGGUGUUGUGCUUUUGAAAGUAUAUAUAAAAAAAUGAUGUAUAUAGAAUGUAAUUCCAAUUGAAAAUGGAUCUCGCCCGAAAAAAUAGAAUACAAACGGGAUUCGAAUUGAGUUGUCACGAGCGUAAACAUGCACUUUGCAAAAUUUGAGCGAAGCGGGGAAAGUCGCAGUAACCGCCCGAAACCAAAAUCUGCGAGAUGGAAAUUACUACUGCCUAUCCCUCCCAUGCAAAGCCUAUCUGCUAGAUUUCUAUAGGUUUCGAUAGAGGUAGGUUUGUAAUUUCACCCAAAUGUGACGUAACCGCCUCUUACCCGGAUUCAUACACGGUGGGCGCCAAAACACAGUGUGUCCUCGGCCGAAAUAGACUCCCUCCCCGAUUCAUAUUCAUACAUGGUGGGUGCCCAAAACAAACUCUCGUCGGCAAAUAUUCAGUGUAUGCGAGAUUAACGUCCUAUCCCCAACCGACUAUUGUUGCUGUGAUGUAGUAGAAAUUUGAAACGGGGGCUAAGUUUGUAAAUUUCCUCGCAUUUGAGACAAGCGCGCCCAGAAUACAUGGUUCCCUCCCUUCCUCUCUACCUCCCUUUUCCCCAUUCAUACUCCAUGGGCGCCAAAACACCCUCUCCACCCCACCCUCCUCCGUCUGCCACAGCCCGCCACCCCAUCCACCGCCGUCCUCCUCCACCAUGCCAGAGCUGAUACGCCGACGCCGCCGUCCAUUACAAGAGAUCAACCUCUCUCAUCCACGGCUUCGGACCGGGAUCCUUGCAUCCCGUCCUCUCGCUUCAUCCCCGCCGUUGUCCACCUUGCCGGCGCCGCUCCUACGACGUCUCGUCCACCGCGCCCCGCCGCCACCAUCUACCGUCCUAGAUCUGGUUCCAUGCCGCCGACAACCAUCGCUACCGCAUCACUGUCAAAUUCUCAGCAGAUGCGUACACGGCACUACACCAGAGGCGGUACUCUUUUGUAUCUGCUCAACUUAUUUAUCGCAGCAAGAAAAUAGAUCACCACUGCUUUACUCUGAUUUCUUGUCUUGGUUGCGAAGUUGCCUUUGUCCGGUUUGCACCUUCAGAUCCGCCAUGGCACGCUCAACACUAUACUCCCAAUGCUUAUGAUUUUCCCCUUUUAUAUUCCACACUAGUUAAAUCAUAGUAGACUAAAUUUUUCAGAGCUCGCCGGAGUUUGCCGGUGCGAACGAAGGGGCUCGGGUGGUUGUGGGGCCUCGCCGAACGAAGAAAACUCAACGCGGGUGGGUGUUGGGGCGGGGGUGGGGGGUGGGGGUGGCGGAGGAACACAGGCGGUGAGGGCCGGUGGUCCGGCGGGCGGGCCGUGCGGUGUUUUGUAUGGGAAGAAUCAGAGACGAGGAAGAAGAUGGGUUAGGAGAUGUAGGAUCUUCUUCCAACCGCCUGAAAUGGUCGAGAGACAGCUGGGAGUUGCAUUCUUAAUGCGCUCUGGUUCAUCAUGUGUGGGCACUAUGCAACCAACAUUUUAUUAUCCAAAUUCUGCUUGCUCUUCUUUACCAUGUUCCUCUUCCGUUCUUCUUUAAUAUGUAAUCUCUCCGUUCCUAAAUACAAGUCUUUGUAUAGAUUCCACCAUGGACUACAUAUGGAGCAAAAUGAGUGAAUCUACACUCUAAAAUGUAUCUGGAUACAUCUAUAUAUGAUCCAUAGUGGAAAUCUCUACCAAGACUUAUAUUUUGGAAUGGAGGGAGUAUGAUAGUAGUACAAUAUGUUCCUUGUACUGAAGAUGAGCAGGGACAUUUGCAGUGUAGAGGUCUAUACGGUCGGUUGCGAUGGACACUUUGAGCCUCUUUGAUUCAUAGGAUCUUGUAAACAUAGGAAUAGGAUUUGUAGUGGCCUUCCCACUUGAAUACUAUAAGAAUAGCAAGGAAAUGCGGGGAGCUGUGUCGCCUUUGAGAGUUACAUUGAUAUUAACAGUACCGCACCUUCACUUGAAGAGAGCUGGUAUCCGAAGCCUUUCCAGCCGUACCGGCAAACUAGCACAUAUAUUCCAGCAAGUUCCACUUUGCUGAUUUUACUUUGAUGCUUAAGGUUUUCCCGUUAUAUCUACACUAUGAUCUAUGUAGCUGCUUUGUGUCGCACUAGCAACAGUCCACUCUUGAAGCUAAACACUGCAAUGACUUACAAAAUUGGCACCAAGGCAUUGAGUGCCAUUCUGGAUGCAAUGAAACUCAUACGCUCCCCACUUGUUGACUCUUGUUCAGAAUAUGAUCCUAAUGGCUCUUGUUCAAAAUUGCCACAUAUAGAGAGACAACAUGGAAUUGCAUUUCUUUGGGCGCUGUGAUUCAUCAUGAGUGGGCAACCAACAUUGUAUGCAAUGAAGCGGAACCUCAAGAAUAUGCUUCCUCGUCCGUUCUUUAACAUGUUCCUCUUUGUUUAUUAUGUAUUUAGUACGUACAGUAUGUUCCUUGUCAGGAAGGGGCAUAGGGACAUCUGCAGUCAAUAGCUAAUAAAGCUGGCCUGUACGUGAUCGAUAGGCUUUCAAUUACUAGCGGCAAUACAACACCGUAUUUUCAAGCCAGUUCCACUUUCCCGAUUUAUAUAUCGUGGUUAUGGUGUACCCCUGUAAUGUACACUAUGAUCUUCCUAGUUGUUGUGUGCUCUUGUUAUCAUGGUUUGGCAAUAAACUCUCUAUACAGUAUAUUAUGAACCUGUCAUCUGCCAGCUAUCCUUACUUCUGGAGCCUAUUUUUUGUGUACUUGUGCCAGAUUAUAUAAAUGCACGCACCAUAUUACAGCACACAUGAGCUCUCUCAUCAGAAUUCAGUGAUAGCACACAAGUGUUUACAGGGGCGCCCCUAUAUUAGAAUAUCAUCUGCAUUACAAAUAUAAUCUCACAACUAUUUAUGUUAUCAUGGUUCUUAGAUAUUAUACGCAAUUACAGUGAAUAUCAGAAUCCGCGCAUCAGAAGAAUAUUGUGGAACACUGCAAUGACUUACAAAAUUGGCACCAAGGCAUUGAGUGCCAUUCUGGAAGCAAUGAAACUCAUACGCUCCCCACCUGUUGAUUCUUGUUCAGAAUAUCAUCCUAAUGACUAUUCUAACCUCGAGGAGUCAAAGGCAGAUGGCCUGUCCUGUUCACCCAUCAAGGUGCCUAUUCUAAUUUGGCAAGGUUUUAUUGAUUGCGCGUAUCUUGCAUAUGUUGUCUUGCAUUUCUUGUACUUUGUUGCACCGCCAUCUGCCUAGUUUACUCAUCAUAUAACUCGAGAUGCCAUGCCCAUCCAUUAUCAAUACAUAUUCCAUCUGUCAUCAUACCAUGUUUUUCCACUCAAAUGUUGUUCUUGUGCAUCAGACAUCAAAAAGCAAGAGGGUGAUUGCCGAACCCUAAGGAGCACCAACAAAGUCCUUGAAAAACGUGGUGGUGCCGGAGAAAUCAGACAAUGCCCCACUUAUAUUGGAUGUACAACUAGUGACACAAAACGUAGGACCGAUUCCAGCAGACUGUACCCAUACUUCACUGGCCACACCACUAGCCCCACCACACAGGACCUGCACUCCAGCAAAAGGUAUACCGAUUUCAUUUGCCAUAGCACCAGCCGUACCACAGAAAAAUCCCACUCCAGCAAAAAGUACAACAAGUCCACCGGCCGAAGACCUAUCCCAACUGCAGAGACUGCAAAUUCCUGCAGAUUGGAACCCCAUUCCAUUUAUUCCCAGUUUAAAAGACAAUGCUUUCAAUGUUGUUAGGGACUACGUGCAUAUAUUCCCAUCAUGGGAAUAUUAUAGUGAAGACAAACACCAUUUUCACAUCUUCCUGCCCAAGUUACGUGUAAGUGCUUUUAUUCAUGGUUAUUAUUUUCCUGUUUUCUGCUGAUCGAACACAUCAAUGAUUUACAUUACACUGUUGUAACUAGGCGAGGGUCAAUCUGGAUAGUCAUGACGAACAAAGCUUGCUUGUGCUUUUCAAGGAAGCAUUGCAGCAGUAUCGGUGUUACCUGAGGAAAUCACACUUUGAUGGCAAGUCUAUAAAUGAAUUUCCGGUGAAGUCUCCUGUGCUAAAAUUAGAAGACAUUGAAUGGAAAAACCUUGUUAUGCACUGGUCUCGUUCCCGGGAUGAGGUACUGUCUAUGAAAUCACAUGACAAUUUGAACUUCUACUUUUCUGCAUGUGCCUUACGGAUCUUUUUUGCAAGAAAUCUGCUUGAAGAAGAAUUCCGGUUUGAAAAGAACGACAGGAUAUCACAAAUAUGCUGCCCGCUGCUUUGCUCUUGUUAGUACCAGUUGUCCUGUAUCACUGUACUUGCAUACAUACCUGGUUCAUUAUGUGACAGCAGUAUGCAUGAUAGCUUGCUUAUCAAUUGUUCGCUCCAAAUUAUCUGAUCUGUAUGAAUGGUUACAUUAGUGUAGAAUAUAUCCAAUGCCAAUGAAUUUUUUUAGCUCUGCAUUGUUCUUGUAAGUACAUGCUGUCCUUUAUCAGUGUACUUAUAUUGACAGGUAAUUGUUCAUGUACCAUCACUCUGCAGCUUAUUUUCCUUUGCCCUCCAUUUUCUACACAUCAGAUCUAUAUUUACUCUUACCAUAAUGUUGGUACUGAAGAAGUUUAGCUGUGCAUUGCUCUUGGCUGUGCCUUUUCUCUGUAUCACUGCACAUACAUUUAUAGCUACUUGGUUAUGUAGCAUCACUCUUCAUCUUAUCUUACAUAUUCUUCAUUUUUUCGUAUAUUAUCACAUCUAUAUAUACUCUUAACAAAAUGUAGAAUAAAGGCAAUGCUUAUGAAGAAGAUUAUGUGGUAAACUUCUUGAAUUACCCCCCAUCAGCAUGGACAAGGGCUUUAUAGAGCCUGACUUCAACAGUAAUGUAAGUUUGUCCUUCUCAAGCCUUCAAACUUUGUUGUGUAUAUUUGGUUAGGCAUGACUACAACAGCUGUUUAUUUUUGGUGUUUGCAUCAAAUUGCAUGUUUAAAGUUUAUUAUGUAGUUCAUAAACAAAAGUUUGUCCUUCUCAAUUUAAGUUUUCAGCUGUACAACCAAGUUCCUUCUUCAUACCAUGUAAAUUAAACUAUACAGAGCAAGUGAUCUUCUUUUGCACUGCAUGUAUGCUUCUGUUCUUCAUCUGUAAUCCAGUGGUGUGGUGAACCUACCCACUACAGCACAAUGUCAUAUUCUGCAAUGUCUUAACUAUGAACAAUGUCAUAUCAUUCUCUUAUUAUUUAAACCGUCUCUUUAUUUGCCAAUCUGAAAUGGGAUAAAUUGACAGCACACUAACCAUUGAUACUUAUGAGUUCUUGAUUUGUAAUCCAGUGGUGUCCUGAAGCUGCCAACUCCUUCACAAUGUCAUUUCCUGCCAUGUCUUGACCUGAACAAUACCAUAUUGUGUUAAUGCAUUUUUAAACUAUGUCACUUUAUUCGUCAGUAAGAAAUGUGAUGAAUUGUCAGCACUGAUACUUUUAUGUGCAAAACCUGUCAUCUGUCUGCUUAUUUAUCUUUCAGAGUGAGGAAGAUAAAAGUGUUGAACAAGUGCAGUCUCAUCAUCUUGCUCAGGUGCUUUCGCUGCAGCUCGCCAGCAGGGCUAACCUUUCUUGAACUCUAUUGAAGUGCUAUAGGUUUUUUAUAUUAUUUUGUCGGCGUGUUUAUUUGCACUGGUGGUGAUCUUUGAUGCCCACUGUAUGUAAUCUGCUGUCUGCUUGUGCUUUAUUACCAUAGUGGCGAACUUUGAUGCCCAGUGGAUGUAAUAUGCCGUAAUUUAUUUAUUGUAUAGUCUAGGUUUUUUCUUAUUCACGAUACUGCAGUUAUUUUACUAUAUAUAUAUAUCAUGUCUUUGCAGUAAAGCGGCCAAACCGUAAAAUUACGGUACAUAAUCGGGCCGUCAUGCAAUCACGAUGUAUGAUCCGCAUCAUGGGCCCCGUCAAACUGGACCACUAGUAGAUUCGGGCCUUUAAUAGGCCGAGUAACCCCCGACCCUCUUUUCGCAAGAAAACUCAAUGGGCUUUUAGGAGGCUGAGAAGUAGGUUGGGUCUGAAACGUGCCGAACAGCUCACGGGCCGGCAGCUGCCCAAAAUGGACCCCGACCCAUGAUUGUGCGAAUCAAAUCACAGGCUUUUAACAGGCCAAAAUUGUCUCGGUCCUUGUUUGAUCCAAUCAGAUAUCGGCUGCGAGCAGGCCGGAUGCAAACCGGGCCGUAGUUAGGCCCAACUAUAUGGCGGGCUUUUAAUAGGCCGAAAUUAAUAUAGGGCCGAAAUGUUAAACGGGCCCUUAAUAGGUCAAAACUAAUAUCAGGCCGAAUUACUAAAUGGGCCUUUUCCAAGUGGGCCCAAAAGCAUAGCGUCCAAUUAACGGGCCGAAUCUGAUAUGUGCCAUAAUUGAGGCCGAAGCCUCUUAAAGGGCCGGACCUGAUCUGGGCCGUGAUUUGGCCUAGAACAUGGGAGGCUUUCAACGGGCCGGAUCUCAUAUGGGCCAUUAUUAGGCCCGAAACGUGGCAGGCCAUUAAUGGACCGGAUCAAAUAUGGCCCGGCAUUUGGCCCAAAACAUGGCAGCCAGUUAAUGGGCCGGCCUACUAGGGUCCUCAAAAUCUUGUGGGCCUACAGCUGGGCCGACCCAUUAGUGUCGGUGAAAUCUCGUGGGCCUUUAGCUGGGCCGGCCCAUUAUGAUCCGCAAGAAUUUUGUGGGCCUUUACCUGGGCUGGCCCAUUAUGGCACACAAAAAUCUUAUGGGCCUUUACCUGGGCCGGCCCAUUAUGGCCCGCGAAAUCUUGUGGGCCUUUAGGUGGGCCAGCCCAUUAUGGUCCACAAAAUCUCGUGGGCCUUUAGCUAGGCCGGCCCAUUAUGGUCCGCAAAAUCUUGUGGGCCUUUAGUUGGGCCGGCCCAUUUAAACUUGAUGGGCCGUGCCACGUGUCGAUGUAUCAUAGGCGCCUUCUAUCCAAUGAGUGGAUGACAUCUAUCCCAACGAUGAGCCGACACGUGUUUCCUCCAGCCAAUGAUGAUUUUACACGUGGAAAAUCCCCAUUGGUCGGGGCUGUUAACGGGUUAUCGGAUCCAAAACCCGACCCGAUAGCUUAACGGCGUUCCGUUACAGUGGAUGCCACGUGUCGGUCACCCUUGAUGAAAGCACUUCUGUGACGCGCGAUUUAUCGUCAUGGAAGUGGACACUUCUGUGAUGAUAAUUUUGGUAAUGUCAUGGAACACUUCUAUGACAACACAUGUAUGACUAUCUUGAUUCUGUCAUAAAAUCGUCAUGGAUGUACAUGCAUGACAAAAAACGUGACCUACUAUGACAAACACGUAUCAUCAUGGAAGUGUAUUUUUUUGUAGUGGGUGUUGAUGUAUAAGCCCUCCGUGAUCGAUUCCCCCUCCGACGGAGCGCCGGAAAAGGCCCCAAGAUGGGAUCUCAUGGGUACAGAAGGUUGCGGCGGUGGAAAUAGGGUUUCGUGGUGCUCCCCGAUGUUUUCAGGGUAUAUGAGUAUAUAUAGGCGAAGGAAGUCGGUCAGGGUAGCCAUGAGGGGCCCACGAGGGUGGGGGCACGCCUCCCUGCCUCGUGGCCGCCUCGUUUCUUUCUUGAUGUCCACUCCAAGUCUGCUGGAUUGCGUUUGUUCCAAAAAUAACUCUCCCAAAGGUUUCAUUCCGUUUGGACUCCGUUUGAUAUUCCUUUUCUGUGAAACACUGAAAUAGGCAAAAAAAAACAGCAAUUUGGGCUGGGCCUCCAAUUAAUAGGUUAGUCCCAAAAUAAUAUAAAAGUGCUUAGUAAAGCCCAUUAAACAUCCAAAACAUGUAAUAUAAUAGCAUGGAACAAUCAAAAAUUAUAGAUACGUUGGAGACGUAUCACUCACCGACUACACCACCGCCAUCAGCAUCACCGGCAGCAACCACCGGCUCGCCAUGCGCUACGCGACGCUCAUGCUCCAAGGGUCGGCCCGCACCUGGUUGAACAGUCUGCCGGUGGGCAGCGUCAACAUGUGGGUCGACUUCGAGCAGGCCUUCAUACGCAACUUCAGGGGACUUACAAGCGACCCGGCCGCCCCAGCCAGCUCGCCAUGUGCGUGCAGGGGCCGAUGCUGAUCGGCCGCGAGUACCUCGCACGCUGGACAGAGCUCCGGAACAGCUGCGAGGGCGUCCACGAGGUUCAAGUGUUCUAGUACUUCGUCAACGGAUAGUGAGAUGGCACCCUCCUCAUGCACAAGCUCUUGCACUCCGAGUCGGCCACCAUGGCCGCGCUCAUGGUAACAGCGGACAAGUACGCCAACACCGACUCCACCAUGAAGAUCCAGGUGGCAUUGGAUGAAGCCGGCAAAGCAAAGCCGGUUCCCCCUCCGAAGCCGGCCGGUGAAGGCAGCCGGCAGACCGGCAAGAUGGCGUGGCAACCCGCUAUGAGCUUCGAGGAGAUGCUCGACGCCCCUGCAAGCACCACAGCGGCGCAAGGCCAUCCACGCACACGCUUCGGUAGUGCGGCAUCACCAAGCGCAUCAAGAGGGGCAACAUCCCGCCCCCUCCGGCUCCGGCUCCGGGCGCGGGUCAGCCACCUCCACCUCCACCGCCGCCCCCAGCCGACGACGCGAUGCGCGACGACACCUACCCGGACCAGAACGCGGCCAACACCGUCUUCACCAGCCUCAACAACGACAAGCGCAGCGAGUACCUCCUUCAGCAGGAGGUGAACACCGUCAUCCCGGCCAAGCCAGAUUGCAUGCACUGAUCAGUCCUCCCGGUCACAUGGACCCGGAAAGACCACCCGGCUGUCAUGCCGAAUCCGAGUGGCUACGCCCUCGUCCUCAACCCCACCAUCAUUGCGCGACGCACGUGCAAGUUUUCUCGAGUCCUCAUUGACUGCGGCAGCAGCAUCAACAUCCUCUAUCGCGACACCAUGACCAAGCUCGACCUCGAGGCCAAGGACCUGGAGCCGACCCGGACGAUCUUCCACGGCAUUGUCCCCGGCCUCUUCUACCUCUUGAGCAUGCGUUGGUUUUCCCUUGAAGAGGAAAUGGUGAUGCAGCAAAGUAGCGUAAGUAUUUCCCUCAGUUUUUGAAAACCAAUGUAUCAAUCCAGCAGGAGGCCACACGCAAAUCCCUCGUACCUACACAAACAAAUAAGAACCUUGCAACCAACACGAUAAAGGGGUUGUCAAUCCCUUCAUGGCCACUUGCAAAAGUGAGAUCUGAUAGAGAUAAUAAUAAGAUAAAUAUUUUUGGUAUUUUCAUGAUGUAGAUUGGAAAGUAAAGAUUUCAAAAUAAAAUAGAUUGGAAACUUAUAUGAUGAAAAAUAGACCCGGGGCCGUAGGUUUCACUAGUGGCUUCUCUCAAGAUAGCAUAAGUAUUACGGUGGGUGAACAAAUUACUGUUGAGCAAUUGAUAGAAAAGUGCAUAGUUAUGAUAAUAUCUAGGCAUGAUCAGGUAUAUAGGCAUCACGUCCGCGACAAGUAGAUCGAAACGAUUCUGCAUCUACUACUAUUACUCCACACAUCGACCGCUAUCCAGCAUGCAUCUAGAGUAUUAAGUUCAUAAGAAUAGAGUAACGCAUUAGGCAAGAUGACAUGAUGUAGAGGGAUAAACUCAAGCUAUAUGAUAUAAACCCCAUCUUUUUAUCCUCGAUGGCAACAAUACAAUAUGUGCCUUGCUGCCCCGGCUGUCACUGGGAAAGAACACCGCAAGAUUGAACCCAAGCUAAGCACUUCUCCCAUUGUAAGAAAGAUCAAUCUAGUAGGCCAAACCAAACUGAUAAUUCGAAGAGACUUGCAAAGAUAACCAAUCACACAUAAAAGAAUUCAGAGGAGAUUCAAAUAUUGUUCAUAGAUAAUCUUGAUCAUAAACCAACAAUUCAUUGGAUCUCGACAAACACACCGCCAAAAGAAUUACAUCGAAUAGAUCUCCAAGAAGAUCGAGGAGAACUUUGUAUUGAGAAUCAAAGAGAGAGAAGAAGCCAUCUAGCUAAUAACUAUGGACCCGAAGGUCUGUGGUAAACUAGUCACACUUCAUCAGAGAGGCUAUGGUGUUGAUGUAGAAGCCCUCAAUGAUCAAUUCCCCCUCCGGCGGAGCGCCGGAAAAGGCCCCAAGAUGGGAUCUCACGGGCAUAGAAGGUUGCGGUGGUGGAAAUAGGGUUUCGUGGUGCUUCUGGAUGUUUUUAGGGUAUAUGGAUAUAUAUAGGCGAAGGAAGUUGGUCAGGGGAGCCAUGAGGGGCCCACGAGGGUGUGGGGGGGCCACCCCCCUAGGGCGCGCCCUCCUACCUUGUGGCUGCCUCGUUUGUUUCCUGACGUCCACUCCAAGUCUCCUGGAUUGCGUUUGUUCCAAAAAUAACUCUCCCAAAGGUUUCAUACCGUUUGGACUCCGUUUGAUAUUCCUUUUCUGCAAAACACUGAAAUAGGCAAAAAACAGCAAUUUGGGCUGGGCCUCCGGUUAAUAGGUUAGUCCCAAAAAUAAUAUAGAAGUGUAUAGUAAAGCCCAUAAACAUCCAAAACAGGUAAUAUAAUAGCAUGGAACAAUAAAAAGUUAUAGAUACAUUGGAGACGUAUCAGGCAUCCCCAAGCCUAAUUCCUGCUCAUCCUCGAGUAGGUAAAUGAUAAAAACAGAAUUUUUGAUGUGGAAUGCUACCUAGCAUAUUUCUCAAUGUAAUUUUCUUUAUUGUGGCAUGAAUGUACAGAUCCAAAUGAUUCAAGAUAAAAGUUUAAUAUUGACAUAAAAAUAGUAAUACUUCAAGCAUACUAACAAAGUAAUCAUGUCUUAUCAAAAUAACGUAGCCAAAGAAAGCUUAUCCCUACAAAAUCAUAUAGUUAGGCCAUGCUUUAUUUUUGUCACACAAAAUACUCCCAUCAUGCACAACCCCGGUUUCAGCCAAGCAAUUGGUCCAUACUUUUUAACGCGCUUAAGCUUUUUCAACCCUCACGCAAUACAUGAGCCUAAGCCAUGGAUAUAGCACUAUGGGUGGAAUAGAAUAUGAUGAUGGAGGUUGUGUGGAGAAGACAAAAAAGGAGAAAGUCUCACAUUGAUGCGGCUAAUCAACGGGCUAUGGAUAUGCCCAUCAAUUGAUGUCAAUGCAAGGAGUAGGGAUUGCCAUGCAACGGAUGCACUAGAGCUACAAAUGUAUGAAAGCUCAAAAAGAAACUAAGUGGGUGUGCAUCCAACUCGCUUGCUCACGAAGACCUAGGGCAUUUCGAGGAAGCUUGUCAUUGGAAUAUACAAGCCAAGUUCUAUAAUGAAAAAUUCCCACUAGUAUAUGAAAGUGACAACAUAGGAGACUCUCUAUCAUGAAGAUCAUGGUGCUACUUUGCAGCACAAGUGUGGAAAAAGGAUAGUAACAUUGUCCAUUCUCUCUUUUUCUCUCAUUUUUUAUUUUUUUCUUUCCUUUUUUAUUUUGGUGGGCUUCUUUGGCCUCUUUUUUUAUUUGGGCUUCUUUGGCCUCUUUUAUUUUUCAUAAAGUCCAAAGUCUCAUCCCGACUUGUGGGGGAAUCAUAGUCUCCAUCAUCCUUUCCUCACUUGGGAUAAUGCUCUAAUAAUGAAGAUCAUCACACUUUUAUAUACUUACAACUCAAGAAUUACAACUCAAUACUUAGGACAAAAUAUGACUCUAUAUGAAUGCCUCCAGUGAAAGUGCAAUCUUGCUCUUAAAGAUUAUUUUUGAUAUUGAUGACAAAUCUACAUAUAGGGGACUAACCAUGUUUUCUAAGUAUAUACACAGGCCGUCAAUCCUCUAGUUUUUUCUAAUGUGCAUCAUGAUCACAUCAUAUGAGAUUUUACCCAAGAAAAUUAUCAAUGAGGAAAGGUGCAAACAAAGACGAAGCAUUGUGCUCUUUUAUAUUUCUUGAGUAAUAGGAAUCCUGGACUGUUAAGAGGGGAUCCGAGGUGUAGGUUCAAGACUUUCUCACAUUUUGUCUCACAAGCAAUUUUUCACAAAGGAGCAAAAUCCCUAGCAAAACCCCUUAGCCAAAACCUCCCACUUCUCCUAGCCGGAUCAUCCGGAUGGGUCCCAGAUCAUCCGGGCUAAACCCGGAUCAAUCAGACCCUGCUCCGGAUCAUCCGGAUAAUGUGCAUUUUUCAUCACAGAAUGCUGGUGGCUGAAGCCGAAUCGUCCGGAUGUUCAUCCGGAUCAUCCGGGAUGUGCGCCGGAUCGUCCGGAUCCUGUCCCGGAUCAUCCGAGAAAUCUUGCCCCUAUUUUCACAGAACCCAUAUGGUUGUAGCCGGAUCAUCCGGGAUAUGUCUGGAUCGUCUGGGGUGGCCUCCGGUCUGUCCGGGCUGCUCGCAGCUCUGCUGCUACCAUCUGCAUCCGGGCCUUUAGCCAGAUUAUCUAGACAAUGUCCAGAUCAUCCGGGUGGUGUCCCAGAUCAUCCGGGCUGGUCAACUUCUAUCCAAAUGACUCAAUUCUGGAUGCGGUAUAAAUAGUCCCUUACCUCUUCGAGAUAAGGUCGAACACUUCACACAAACACGCCUCAAGAACACAGUGCUCCCCCUCUCUUGCUCAUACACUAAAUCCCAAAUCCCGGCUUGAUUCUUGAGAGUUUCGAAGAGUUGUUCCAAUCAAAAGAAAGAUCUUCUCCCUCUCCUUCUUGUGACCAAAGCAAAUCGUGGCUUGAGCAAGUCUUGAGUUUUUCCCCUUGGAUCUUGUUACUCUUGGAGGUUGGAGACUCCUAGGCGGUAGGAGUCAUUCGGUGAGGAAUCAACCAUUGUGAUUACCCCCGGAAAGUUUGUGAGGGUUUGGAGACCACCCCAAGGUCUACCACUAGUGGUUGAGAAACGCCUUCGUGGUGUUGUCUCAAAGAGAGAAUAGGGCGAGCCUUCGUGGCGUUGGUGUGCCUUCGUGGUAACAUCCACCUCUCUAAACGGUGACAUAGCUUCCCUCCAAGGAAGUGAACAUCGACAUACAUCCUCAUCUCUCGGAGUUGCGGUUAUUCCUAACCCUAACUCCCUACUUGUGGUUACUUGUCUCUUGCACUUACGUUUAUCAUAUUGUGCUUGCUUAGUCAUAUAUUUGUGCCACUUGUUUAUCUUUCUUAGCACUUAGUAAUACACUUGCAAUUGUUAGGCUCACCUUCAUAUUCUGCAUUAUUGCCUAAAAUUGCUAAGUAAUAAUUAAUAUUUGUAAUUCUACCUAUUCACCCCCCUCUAGGUCCAUCUCGAUCCUUUCAUCUGGCGGUGUACCAGGAUAUGCAAUGAAUCAAGAGCGACAUGUAUGAAAGAAUUAUAACGGUGGCUUUGCCCCAAAUACAAUUUCAACUACAUGAUCAUGCAAUAGCAAUAUGACAAUGAUGGAGCGUGUCAUAAUAAACGGAACGGUGGAAAGUGGCAUGGCAAUAUAUCUCGGAAUGGCUAUGGAAAUGCCAUAAUAGGUAGGUAUGGUGGCUGUUUUGAGGAAGAUAUAAGGAGGUUUAUGUGUGAUAGAGCGUAUCGUAUCAUGGGGUUUGGAUGCACCGGCGAAGUUUGCACCAACUCUCAAGGUGAGAAAGGGCAAUGCACGGUACCGUAGAGGCUAACAAUGAUGGAAGGGUAAGAGUGUGUAUAAUCCAUGGACUCACAUUAGUCAUAAAGAACUCAUAUACUUAUUGCAAAAGUUUAUUAGCCCUCGAAGCAAAGUACUACUACACAUGCUCCUAGGGGAAGGGUUGGUAGGAGUUAACCAUCGCGCAAUCCCGACCACCACUCAUAAGGAAGGCAAUCCAAGAACACCCCAUGCUACAAAUUUGUCACACAACUUUUACCAUACGUGCAUGCUACGGGACUUGCCAACUUUAACACAAGUAUUUCUCAAUUUCAUAAUUACCCAACUAGCAUGACUCUAACAUUACCACCUUUAUAUCUCAAAACAAUUAUCAAGUAUCAAAUUUAUCAUAGUGUUCUAAUGCACUUUAUAUGAUAGUUUUUAUUAUACCCAACUUGGAUGUCCAUCAUAUUAGGACUAAUUUUAUAACCAAAGCAAGUACCAUGCUAUUCUAAAAAACUCUCAAAAUAAUAUUAGUGAAGCAUGAGAGAUCAAUAAUUUCUACAAAAUAAAACCACCCCCGUGCUCUAAAAAGAUAUAAGUGAAGUACUAGAGCAAAACUGUCUAGCUCAAAAGAUAUAAGUCAAGCACAUAGAGUAUUCUAAUAAAUUCCAAUUCAUGUGUGUCUCUCCCAAAAGGUGUAUACAACAAGGAUGAUUGUGGUAAACUAAAAAUCAAAGACUAAAAUCAUACAAUAUGCUCCAAGAAAAACACAUAUCAUGUGGUGAAUAAAAAUAUAGCAUCAAGUAAAGUUACCGAUGGACGAAGACAAAAAAGGGGAUACCUUCCAGGGCACCCCCAAGCUUAGGCUUUUGGUUGUCCUUGAAUGUUACCUUGGUGUGCCUUGUGCAUCCCAAAUCUUAGGCUAUUGCCACUCCUUAUUCCAUAAUCCAUCAAAUCUUUACCCAAAACUUGAAAACUUCACAACACAAAACUCAACAGAAAAUCUCAUAAGCUCUGUUAGUGCAAGAAAGCAAACCACCACUUUAAGGUACUAUAAUGAACUCAUUAUUUAUUUAUAUUGGUGUUAAACCUACUGUAUUCCAACUUCUCUAUGGUUCAUACCACCCGAUACUAGCCAUAGAUUCAUCAAAAUAAGCAAAUAACACACGAAAAACAGAAUCUGUCAAAAACAGAAUAGUCUGUAGUAGUAUGUAACUUUAGAAUACUUAUGUAACUCUAAAAAUUCUACCAAAAUAGUAAGUCCUGGAAAAUGUUUCUAUUAAUCUUCUACAAAAAGAAUCAACUAAUAAGCACGUUUCUUUGAUUUAUUAUAAUUAUUCUCGUGCGCGUAAAAGUUUCUGUUUUUCAGGAAGAUCAAAUUAACUAUCACCCAAGAUGAUCCUAUAGGUUCUACUUGGCACAAACACUAAUUAAAACAUAAAAACACAUCUAACCAGAAGCUAUAUGAAUUAUUUAAUACUAAACAGGAGCAAAAAGCUAAGAACAAAAAUAAAAUUGGGUUGCCUCCCAACAAGCGCUAUUGUUUAACGCCCUAGCUAGGCAUAAAAGCGAGAAUAGAUCUAGGUAUUGUCAUCUUUGGUAUUCAAUUCAUAGGUGGCUCUCAUAAUAGAUUCAUAAGGUAAUUUGAUUUUCUUCCUAGGAAAGUGUUCAAUGCCUUUCCUUGAUGGAAAUUGGAAUCUAAUAUUUUCUUCCUUCAUAUGAAUAAUUGCACAAAUCGUUCUAAGGAAAGGUCUACCAAGAAUAAUAAGACAUGAAAGAUUGCAAUCUAUAUCAAGAACAAUAAAAUCUACGGGCACAUAAUUCCUAUUUUCAACAAUAAGAACAUUAUUAAUCCUUCCCAUAGGUUUCUUAAUGGUGGAAUCUGCAAGGUGCAAGUUUAAAGAGCAAUCAUCAAAUUCACAGAAACCUAACACACCACACAAAGUUUUUGGAAUCGUGGAAACACUAGCACCCAAAUCACACAAAGCAUAGCAUUCAUGAUCUUUAAUUUUAAUUUUAAUAGUAGGUUCCCACUCAUCAUAAAGUUUUCUAGGGAUAGAAACUUCUGAUUCAAAUUUCUCUUCAUAAGAUUUCAUUAAAGCAUCAGCGAUAUGUUUAGUAAAAGCUUUAUUUUGACUAUAAGCACAAGGAGAAUUCGACACGGAUUGCAACAAGGAAAUACAAUCUAUUAAAGAACAAUUAUCAUAAUUAAAUUCCUUGAAAUCCAAAAUAGUGGGUUCAUUGCUAUGUAAAGUUUUGACCUCUUCAAUCCCACUUUUACCAAUUUUUGCAUCAAGAUCUAAAACUCCGAAUCAUUGGGACGCCUUUUAACUAAAGUUGACUCAUCUCUAGUCCCAUCAUUAUCAAGAUUCAUAUUACAAAACAAAGAUUUAAUAGGAGACACAUCAAUCACUUUUAGAUCUUCAUCCCUAUUAUCAUGAAAACUAGAAGAACACGCUUUUACAAAGCAAUCUUUCUUAGCACGCAUCCUAGCGGUUCUUUCUUUGCACUCAUCAAUGGAAAUUCUCAUGGCUUUGAGAGACUCAUUGAUAUCAUGCUUAGGUGGAAUAGAUCUAAGUUUCAAAGAAUCAACAUCAAGAGAAAUUCCAUCCACGUUCCUAGCCAAUUCAUCAAUCUUAGGCAACUUUUCUUCAAGCAAAGCAUUGAAAUUCUUUUGAGAAAUCAUAAACUCUUUAACACUAAUCUCAAAAUCAGAGGGCAUCUUAUUAAAAUUUCCAUAAAAGUUGUUGUAGGAAUUACCAUAAUUAUUAGAGGAAUUACUAGGAAACAGCCUAGGAUUAAAGUUUCCUCUAUACGCAUUGUUACCAAAAUUAUUCCUACCAACAAAAUUCACAUCCAUAGAUUCAUUAUUAUUCUCAAUCAAAGUAGACAAAGGCAUAUCAUUAGGAUCAAUAGGAGCACUCUUAUUAGUUAACAAUUUCAUAAGUUCACCCAUCUUUCCACUCAAAACAUUAAUUUCUUCUAUCACAUGAACCUUUUUACUAGUAGAUCUUUCGGUGUGCCAUUGAGAAUAAUUAACCAUAAUAUUAUCUAGGAGUUUAGUAGCUUCUCCUAAAGUGAUUUCCAUAAAAGUGCCUCCCGCGGUCGAAUCUAAAAGAUUUCUAGAAGCAAAAUUCAAUCCGACAUAAAAUUUUUGUAUGAUCAUCCAUAAACUUAAUCCAUGAGUAGGGCAAUUGCGAAUCAUUAAUUUCAUCCUCUCCCAAGAUUGUGCAACAUGUUCAUGAUCAAGUUGCUUAAAA